UUUUUUUUUUUUUUUUUUUUUUUUGCCAUCGCACGGCUAAAUGGUUCAAACAUUAACAGCUCGUAGUUUGGAAAUGAUUGUCAAUCUGCAGCUCCAACUUGAUCAAUGGAUAAGAGUUUCAGCUUUUAAUGUCAACCUCCGUCUACGCCUAUAUACUAAUGGGGGAAAACAAAAAAGUUUUGAGAACUACUCAAGUGAAAAUCAUUUUUGGACCACUUGGAGAGGGAAAGCUUCUGAGUCUUUAUAAUCAAGUAAGUAACUUGUGUGAACGAGAAUAGAUUUAGUUAUCAGGUCAAAUUUUAGCCCCAAGAAGCAGUUUCUUAUGAAAAGUAUACUUCACUGAAAAAAAAAAAAAGUGUGCGUUUAAAUUUGGCUAUCGUUAUGUGAACCGUUUUGAUGAAUAAUUUAUAAAUACCGCUAUAAAUGAAAUAUGGUCCGAAAACAUGCCUUAAUCUGUGGUAGUGACUGGAACUAAUAUCCUCCAAACUUUUAUUUAUCAAAAAAAAAAGAUGAAAAUAAGAGGAAAAAAAAGUCACAAAACAACACGCAAAUUUGUGGUCGGAAAUCUGUUUGUAGGCCAAGAACAGGCCAUCCCUACUCUUCCCUUAUUACCGAAACAUGUUCGUUCCAGCUAUUACAGGCUCCACUGGGCGUUAGAUUGUCUACUUUAUGUGGGGCCAAGGGGGGCAUAGAUGAUGUGGCCUUAUGAAGUGAUUCAACUUUGCUCCUAAUAGUGGGCCUUCAGGAGUGGGCUUUGGAAAACGAGGCUGUGCUAUUUUAUCCCUAUCUCUGUGCUCUCGAUUCUAGAAAACAAAAGCCAACGCAUAAGAAGGGGGAAGAAGCGAAUGCAAGUAGCAAGCAGAGAAAGCAUAAGAAAGAGAAUGGAAGAAUGCAAUCUCGAACUGCAUAACGCAAUUAGUCUUUUCUGCAAAUGCAUCUUUACUUUACGUAGCAGAAUUUUUUAUGAGUUAUAUAGUUUCUUCAUUCUUGGACCUGUUCGCUUAUGGCUUAAUUUGGGCCUUUUGCAGUAUUUCCUCCUUCAAACUUGGAUAAUUUGAUUUCUUUAUCUGCAUGUGACUAGGAGUGUUUUGAGGUUGUGGGCUGUGUCAAGAAUUUACCACUCCAGCCUCUCAUUCUCGAAAGCUAAAUUUAAAUCAAGUCGUAAUUUUUAAAGUCAGCGUUGACUCUAUUUGCUACAAUUGCAAACCCCAAGAAAGAAGGGGGGGAAUAAACUUAAUGGUUUGUUGCAACUUUUUCAUUCGUCUGUGCAAUGCCAAUGUUUGUCUCGCAUUGAAACUACACAUGAUGGCCUCAUCCACUUUCUUUUUUUGGGUAAAAGGUGUUUUUUUGGGUUUUUUUUGGGAGGGGGGGGGAGUGGUGAAGAUGAGGGAGUUUGACCGCCAAAAAAUGGGGAAAAAAAAAAGUGGAAGAGUGAAGACUGGGGACUUGCAUUGGCUUGGAACUAGGAUUACAAAAGAGUCGAGUCGAAUCGAAUUUUGGUCUAAUCGAGUCGAGCCUUAACUUAGUUUUAUUGAACUCGAACUCAAGCUCGAGUUCGACGAGCUGAUAAUUUAAAGUUCGAGCUCGAUCUCGAAUUCAAAAAAAUAAAAAAUAAUUAUUUUAUUUAAAAAAAUAAAUAAAAUCAUAUUUUUUCUUAAUAAAUAAUAAAAUAUUAAAGAUAUAUAUAUGUAAUUUUACUAUUAAAAUAAAAAAUAAUAUAUAUAUGUAUAUAUAUAUAUAUAUAUAUAUAUAUAUAUAACGAGCUUAAUAUUUUGAGAUCGAAUUUGACUCGAGCGGCUCGUUGGUUUGCAGCCCUACUUGGGACGAUAAUUGGAAAGCUACUUUGGCAGGGCUUCUACAAUAGCCCAACUGAGAUUGGACAGGUCCCCGCCAACCAUUUCCCAUCGGGCAACGGAGUCAUAUCCUUGAAGGAACCAGGAACCAUUUAACGUGUUCCACGCAUCACAGGCCAUUUCCAUCGAUGGUAGCUCUGUUGGAAGUUGGAAUGAAUCGGGCGCUCCAGGAUUCUAUUGAAAGAGAAUUGUGUGAGAGAAAAUCUAAUUUUCGUUUACAGAUAAUAAAGAAAAAACUAAACCACGUUGAAGAAGCACGGGACUUCCCUUAGCCGAGCUGACCUGGUAAGCUCGGGGUGCUGAUGGAAGAGCUCGUCCCAAGCCUGCAAAACAGAAAGAAGUGAUCUCACAAAGGGGGCCCCGAGGUAGUCCCCGAGGGCACUCCGACGGUCAAGUUAGUUGUCCGGUGAGCAAGAGAAUGACUAACGGUAAAGCAAUCGGGGUGAGUUGCCAAUAGUGAGCGUACCUUGUACAGUAGGUAUGUGUUACCAUUUAUACCUGUUGAAGAGUCCGACCUCCGUACGUUCCGGGACUUGCCGUGGAUAGCUCCCAGCCCCGCACUGAGGGGGAUUCCUCGCACCCUCUGCGGGGUAGCCCAAGGGAGCCUCCCGGAGCCCUAGCCGCCGCGCACCCUGGGCUGGCUCCCCGCGGGCCCGGGGUGCAAGCCCUAGCUCGGGUCGACCCUGGGCUGCCACGUGUACAGGCCCAGGAUGGGGCCUCUGCACUAGCCCCCCAGAUUAGGUCAGGCUCCCGGGCAGACCUGAUCUACCAUGUAGCCACGUGGAAGCCCAUCAUCACACUGCUCUGCCGCGGUCACCCCCGGUGCAGUGCUGACAUUGGGAAGUGACGCCCGCGUCCUUUCAGUUGUCGCGUCCCUUCGGUCUCCGUACCCCCAUUUAAUGCGUUCACAUGGGACGGUUCAAAUUCAAGUAACCGUUUUCCCCCCAUUUUGGUUCCCUAUAAGUAGUGGCUGCCAAAUUUCAGUUAACUCUAUUUGCCAUUUUCCCCUUUUCUCGCGCGUUUCCAACUCCCAGUAGUGCAUUUUCGGCCAACAGCACCCAGAUUCUGGCGACUCCGCUUCAACCCCAAUACACUCCUUGUGCGCUAGUAAGUCCUUCCCCCUUUCUUUGCACAUUUUCUUUCCUCCCCCUGCCAUCCUUUAUAUUUUAUGUCGGGCCUCUCUGACGUCACUUCCUCCGCCUCCCAGACUCCAAUCCGUCGUAGAGCCACCAGAAUCUUCAUCUCCUCUUCGUCUUCGUCUUCAUCUUCAUCGUCUCCCUCUCCUUCUCCUUCUUCAUCCUCUGCUUCCAACCCUGAUCUGCUUGACCCCAUAGUCAUCAUGAGCUCUCCUUCUACUCAUUCCCCUUCCGCCCGGCUCUUGGAGGAAGUGGCCGAGGUCGAUGCCCUCAUCGAGCGGCAGGCCACCUCCAUUCCUUCCCCCCAGUCUCCUAACGAUUCCCCUGGCGGAGCUCGGGGUGGAGCUGGGGAGGACAGGGGUUCCUCCGAGGGGACCCCUGCUUCCGAGCAGGGGGAGGAUCCCGAGCUCUCCUACGAGUGUCCUGACCUGUAGGAGGCCACCCUAUCGCCCCAGGCCGUGGCCGAGCUGGCCAAGCUUUACUCCAUUCCUCCGGCUUACGAGCCGAGGGCGGCCGGGCCCGACGACCGAGCCUGCCGACCUCCCCCCGGCUUCGUUGCCAUCUAUAGGGAGCAGCUCAUCGCAGGGCUCCGUCUCCCUAUUCCUUCAGCUCUAACCGAGAUUCUGAACUACUGGGGGCUCAGAAUCACUCAAGUCCACCCCACCUCCAUCAGGAUCAUCACCGGAUUCCUGAUCUACUGCCUGCUUUGCGAUAUCCCCUACUCUCUCUCCCUUUUCCGGGCUGCCUUCAUCCUUAAGGCCGCCCUCCCUGGAUGGUACUACUUCUCUCGCCGCGGUCCCCAAACCCGGGGAGGAAAAGGCGCCCAGGAGUUGUUCCAUGGAGUCCCCUCUUCCGUGAAAAACUGGAAGGAGGACUUCUUCUUUGUCAAGUCCACACAUUUUCCCCCUAACGUGUGGAAGGUUGGAAAGGUCCAGGCCGACUCCUACCCGGAGGACCUGGACUACGAAACCCUCAGCCAGCUGUCGGGCUCCCAGGUGAAGUUUGAUGCCACCAAGCUCUCUACAAAGCAGAUCUCCGCGGCCGGGCUGAUGGGGACGUUGUCCGAGUCCUCCGUGGAGGUGGUGACCCCCGAGCCCAACCUCGACACCUGUAACGCUGACUUUGCCUUUGUUACCUGUUGUAUUUACAACAUGUCGUAAUUUCCUAAACUGUCUUGCUUUUUGUUGACUUGGCUGUGUUUGCUGCAGUGAGGAAGCUCUCCAAGCUGCUGGGCUUGCCCACCGAGGAGGACACCCCCGCUUCUCAGCUGGAGGCGGCCAAGGAGGCCCCAGGGGCGGCCCCGACCUCGGGGGGAGGCCAAGCCCCCCAGGCACAAACGCAAGACACCUCCUCCCCCUCCAAGAAGGCCGCCAACAACAAGAAGAAGGCGACCGGGCAGAAGAGGGGCCGAGCUGAUGAGCCCUCCCAGCCCGGGAAGAGGCUCGCGCUGGUUCCGGCACAGCCCCUUCCCCUCCAGAUGUCCUCGGGGGGUCCAGUUCACCUGGGCGUCGGCUCUGCCGAGGAGCACGCCCUGCAGGCAACUCCCCCGAGCUCGUGGCACUUCCGCCACGUGGCCCCCCUGAAGCCGGGGCAGGCCCCCACAAUGCACGAUCCCCGGCGUUUCUGCCCGUCCUGGGAGCUUUCCAUCAAUGACCGAGCCCAAUUCCCCGAGAUGGCUCGCCAGUGGGUGACAGGCUCGGUCCUCCCCCGGGACAGGAAGUGGAUGGAGCUAGCCUCCCCCUCCGAGCUCCAAGAAGUGUUCUGUACCGCCCAGGCCCAGGUAGGCUUUCCGACCUCCAGGCCAUCCUCGCUUUUGACUCCCAGUUCGGCCGCGCAUAAUGCUAACUCCUUUCUUCUCUCAGGCCCAUGCCGCUGGAGCCGCCUUGCUGUCCCGCUUCUCCGAGCUAUCUCCCGACUUGGAGAAGUUGCAGAAACAGAAACGGGAGGCGGAGUAGAGGCUCACCCAAGCCCUCAAGGAGGCGGACUCCCUCAAGGCCAAGCUCAAGGAAGCGGACUCCCUCGCGGCCAAGUUGGGCAAGGCCGAGAAAGAGCUGGAAACAGCCCAAGUUCAGCUCGCCUCCACAAGGUCAGAGCUCGACCAGGAGAAGGCCGGCGUGGCCAAACUGAGGGAGGACCAUGCCAUCGAGCUCUCGGGCACCGUCAGCCGGGAGCGUAAGAAGGCCAUUCGGGAGUUUAUCUCCUCUAACCAGUUCAUCCAGGACGUCGCGCUUCUCAACGGGCCCGUCGCCCAGGUCGGCUUCGCGCGAGCCCUGAACAAGGUCAAGGAGCUCGGCCUGCCUGGCUUCGACCUGGCCGCUUUCAAGGAGUACGACCCCCAGGCCGAGGAGAAGGUGGACUGGCUCUUCGACGGGUAUUGCAAGGGACAUGCCCUGAAAAAGCUGGUGCGCAGGAAGGACGUUGGGGCCGACCUUGAGGAGCUGCCCCUGGAGGAGGACGGGGACCCGGGUAGAGCUUCGGGGAAGGAGCCGGUAGUCUAGGCGGCCAUUCCCGAAACCCUUCCCACCCUCUUCGGUUGGCAUUGUAAUAGACAGGCCGGGCCACAAGCUCGGAAAUUUUGUAAUAGAUAGGCCUUAAAUACAUAUAUGAAAUUCGAAAUAGAUUCCCUUGCCAUUUCCUCCUGCACCCCCUGCAACAACCAAAACCAGGUGCCGACCUCCCGGGUCGAGCACCAGAUGCAUUCCCCCGUUAAUCUAAUAACUAAAUCAUUAGAGGGAACCAGGUUGCCGAAAACACGUGCCGACCUCUCGAGUCGAGCAACAAACAUUUCGCCAAGGCAAUCACGCACGCCGACCUCCUGGGUCGAACGUUUAAACUUUCAGAAUCCUUUAAAGUACAUUUCACUUGUGCCGACCUCCUGGGCCGAGCACUCCCGCGCGUCUUACCCCCUAGCCCCCCACUAGGACAUUUAGCGAGGGAACGCUAAGUGGGCUAGUGUAAGAUUAAAACUUAGAAUACAAACAAGUACACAUGAAAUAAUAACUGCAAAGGUAACUGGAAUUCGAAAGAAUCAGACAACUGACAAUCCUGGUCUAAUCUAUGCUACAAACAGUCGCAAAUUGGAGAAGUGCCAAGUGCGGGGUACCUCGGAUCCAUCCAUCUUCGCGAGUUUGCAGUACCCAGCUCGGUUUGCCUCCAAGACCUUGUACGGCCCCUCCCAAUUUGGAUCAAGCUUGUUGGAGGCAUGUGCCCGGCUGACCGAGUUUUUCCGUAGAACAAGGUCCCCUGGAUGGUACUGUGUGGUCCUCACUCUGGCGUUAUGAUAGCGGGCGAGCUGACUUUUAUACUUAGCCAUUCGCACAGCUGCUUCCUCACGCUUAGCCUCCAGCGUGUCCAAGUUAUAUCUCACUCUUCCUCGUUGGUUGUCGCAACGAAGUUCUGUGUCCGGGGCGAGGGUAGACCAAUCUCCGCGGGUACUACCGCUUCUACUCCGUAAGUUAGGGAGAACGGGGUCUCAUGGGUUGCCGUCCUGGGCGUAGUGCGGUAAGCCCAAAGGACACUAGGAAGUUCAUCCAGCCAGUUAGACCGGGCUAGCUCCAGUCUAGUCUUCAGUCCCUGCAGGAUGGUUCGGUUGACAUUCUCCACCUGGCCGUUGGCCUGAGGGUGCCCGACCGAGGUGAAGUGCUGGUUAAUCCCGAGCUCUGCGCACCAACUUUUGAAUGGAUUUUCAGCAAACUGUCGCCCGUUGUCGGAUAUCAGGACAUGAGGGAUUCCAAAGCGGCAGACUACACUCUUCCAGAAGAACUUCUGUAUUGCUCUCCCGGAGAUAGUGACCAGGGGUUCAGUUUCCAUCCACUUUGUGAAAUAGUCUAUGGCAACCGCGAGGUGUUCGUACCUGCCCGGAGCUCGGGGGAAGGGACCCAGGAGGUCUAUCCCCCACUGAGCAAAAGGCCAAGGACUGUGGAUGGGGACCAUAUCCCGGGCGGGUUGGUGGUGCAGCGGGGCAUGCACCUGGUAAACUCGGCAUUUUUGAACCAGCUCAUCAGCAUCUCGGAAGACGGAGGGCCAAUAGUAGCCCAGAAGAAGACACUUCUUGGCCAGCACCCGGGACCCCACGUGUGCCGCGCAUAUCCCUUCGUGGAUUUCGCGGAGGACGUAAUCGCCCUCCUCGGGGGUUACGCACUUUAGCCAGAGAGACAAGUAAGACCUCCUAUAGAGGGUCCCCCCGUCGUAGGUGUAUUUGGCAGCUUUGAGCUGGACCCGGCGAGCCUCGGUUUUGUUCUCGGGGAGGGCACCCGAGCUAAGGAAUUGUACGAGAGGGGUCAUCCAGGUGGCCGAGCUGUCUAUAGCCAGGACCUGGACCUGAUCGAUACUUUUCUGUUUCACAACUUCCACCAGGACUUCCUUGCUCAGGUGCGCGAACGAGGAGGAUGCCAGCUUUGACAGGGCGUCUGCGUGCUUGUUUUGUGACCUAGGCACCCGCUCGAUUUCAAAUGAAUCGAACAGGGCCGUUGCCUCCCGCGCCUUGGCCAAGUACCUCCUCAUGAUCUCCUCCUUGGCCUCAUAUUCCCCGCGAACUUGGAGGACGACGAGCUGAAAGUCACUCCGGACUCUGAUCGCGGCAAUACCCAUCUGGUGGGCUAUCGCAAUCCCGUCAGUAGGGCCUCAUACUCAGCCUCAUUGUUAGACGCGGGGAAGUCGAACCGGAGAGCAUAGGUCAGUUCUUCCCCUGUUGGCGAGAUGAGCAGUAGGCCGGCUCCGCUUCCCUCCUUGCUGGAGGCCCCGUCCACGAACAGCACCCAUGGCUCCUUCGGCUGCAACCCCUCGCGCAGAGAGCUUAGCUCAGUUAGUGUCAAGCUGGCCCCCUCAGCGAGGAAGUCCGCCAGGGCUUGGGCUUUGAUGGCUGUGCGGGGCCGGUAGCCGAUAUCGUGCUCGGCUAGCUCGACAGCCCACUUACUCAUCCUGCCCGAGACCUCGGGCUUCGUGAGUAUCUGUCGUAGAGGCUGGUCGGUCAUGACGACGAUGCUGUGGGCCUGGAAAUAAGGCCGGAGUUUCCGGGCGGCGUGCACCAAAGCCAAGACCAGUUUUUCAGCAGGUGUGUACCGGGUCUCCGGUCCGUGUAGAGCUCGGCUGACAUAAUAUAUCGGCCUCUGAGCCCCCCUGUCUUACCGUACCAGGACCGCGCUAACGGCCUCGUUGCAGGCGGACAAGUACAGGAACAAGGUGUCCCCCUGUUCCGGGGCGGUCAGGGUGUGUAGCUCGGCUAGAUACGCCUUGAGGUCAGCGAAGGCCUUCCCGCACUCCUCGGUCCACUGAAAGUCUUUGGGUGCCUUAAGGAUUCGGAAGAAGGGGAGCCCCCUUAUCGCGGACCGAGAGAGGAAUCUAUUCUGGGCGGCCAUCGUUCCCGUGAGUCGCUGGACCUCCUUCACACUCCGUGGAGGGGCCAUGUCCAUGAUGGCCUGGAGUUUUUCGGGGUUGGCCCGGAUCCCCUCUCGUGAGACCAAGAAACCGAGAAACCGGCCCGACCUAACUCCGAAGAUGCACUUCUUCGGGUUCAACCGCAUCCGACUCUCCCGGAGGAUGCUCAAGAUCUCCCUCAGGUCGGGGACGAGCUGGGGUCCAGCCCGACUCUUGACGAUCAUGUCGUCCACGUAAACCUCCAUGUUCCGGCCGAUCUGGUUCUGGAACAGUUUAUUGACCAAACGCUGGUAGGUAGCUCUAGCGUUCUUCAGCCCGAACGGCAUCGUCCGGUAGCAGUAGGUCCCUUCCUCGGUGAAGAAGGAUGUGUUUUCUCGAUCCUCCUCGGCCAUCUCUAUCUGGUGGUAUCCUUUAAAGGCAUCCAAGAAACACAAAACAUCAAAACCAACAGUAGCAUCUACUAACCUGUCGAUCCUCGGCAAGGGGAAACAGUCCUUUGGGCAUGCUUUAUUGAGAUCUGUGAAGUCAACGCACAUCCUCCAGGAUUGGUCCUCCUUUUUUACCAGAACAGGGUUGGCCAACCAGGUCGGGUAAUAGACCUCCAUGAUAAUUUUGGAUUCCAGCAGCUUUCCGACCUCCUUCCUAAUCACCUCAUUCCUCUCGGGAGUGAAGUUUCUCUUCUUCUGCUUCACCGGUUUGAAGCGAGGAUCUAUGUUAAGGUGGUGGUCCGCCAGGUCGGUCGGAAUCCCCGGCAUGUCCUCUACCGUCCAAGCGAAAACCUGGGCGUACUCUCUUAAGAGGGCCUUCAGGUCAUCCUUCUCUUUGGGCGGCAGUGAUGCACCGAUACGGAUUGUCUGGUCAGGCCUCCCCUCCUUCAGCGGGAAUUCCUCGAUCACAUCCGGAGUAUCCCGCUGCCGCUCCUCCUCCCCCGGGAUAUAGGGCUCCAAGCUGACCGUCUGGGCAACCACCUUCUCAUGCCCCCUGAGCAGGGCGAGGUAACAAGUUCGGGCCACUUCCGGAUCUCCAUGCACCUCGGCAAUUCCUUCCGGGGUGGGGAAUUUGACGCUAAGGUGGAGAGUUGAGGGAAUCGCUCGGAGGGCAUUCAAAGCGGGCCGGCCAAGGAAUAUGUUGUACGGGGAUGGUUGCUUGACCACCACGAAGUUGACGGGGAUGGUCCGGCACUUGGGGGCUUGCCCCACCAUGACCAUCAGGUUGAUCAUUCCCUCCAGGUGGACAGGCGGUCCGGUAAAGCCUACCAGAGGUGUCCGCACAGGAGUCAGCUGUCCAUCCUCCAGGCCGAGCUCCUUGAACACCCGAUAGAACAUAAUGUCGACCGCACUCCCUUGGUCGACGUAUACCUUUUUCACUCGAUAGUUGUUGGUUACGACAUGGAUGAUGAUGGCCUCAUGGUUCCCAGAUGCUAGGGGAACCGCGUCCCUCGGCCCGAAGGUGAUCUCCUCGUCCAUGCGCAGGCGUUUUAGGGAGUCGUCCCCCUCAGGGGGAGAUCGCUUGCUUUUCCGAGCUGCGUGGCUGUCCCCCCCUGUGGGACCGCCGGCAAUGGUGUUUAUCACCCCUGCCAAGUUCUGGGCAUCCUGGUCGGGUGAAUAACCCCGGGGCGCGCCCCGCCGAUCAGGUCGGUCACGGUGCUGACCCUCGCCUCUCUCUCCUCGGUAGGCGCGUCCGGGCUCCUGGCCGGGGCGACCUUGCCGCACAAACCGACCCAGGAAAUCGCGCUGAACGAGGUCCUCGAUCUCCCUCUUUAGGGCCCAACACCCCUCAGUGUCGUGCCCGACGUCCCUGUGGAAGGCACAGUACCGGUCCUGAUUACUCUUAUUCCGAGGUGUGCCCAUUUUGGGCGACCGGUCUCCCAGGCCCUCUGUCUCCAUGACAGCCAGGAUUUGCGCCCUUGGCCGGGUUAGGGGCGUGUACCCUUUUUCAGGGAGCGGCGGUGGAGCGGGGGCCCUAUCCUUGGAGAGGCGAUCGAAGACGUUCUUCCUGGCUUGGCCAUCCUUGGUUUCAGGGUGGUUUGCCCGUCCUUUCCGGUCCCCGAGCUCCCGAUCUGAUUCUCGUUUCAGGCGGCCGGCCUCCUCUGCGUUAGCAGCAGCGUGAGCCCGGGUCAGGAGCUCUCCCAGAUUCUUCGGGGGUUGUUCGACAUGUUUGUAGUAGAGCUCCUCUACCCUUAGCCCGUUCAUGAAGGCGGCCAUAACCACCUUCUCAUCCUUAUCUCUGAUCUGCAGGCUUUCUGUGUUGAAGCGCGUCAUGAAAUUCUUUAGGGACUUGUCCGGCUUCUGCUUGACGGCCAUCAGGUGAGCCGCGUUUUUCGAGUAGGUUUUCGAGGAGACGAACUGGGCGGCGAACUGUCGGGCCAGCUCGGUGAAACUCCGGAUAGACCCCGGCGCCAGGCCCUGGAACCAGAGCCGUGCUUUUCCCUUAAGAAACAUGGGGAAGGUCUUGCAACGGAGGGCAUCCGCGGCGGUUUGUAGGCACAUGUGCGUCAGGAAGACCGAGAGGUGGUCUUCCGGGUCAGUCGAGCCAUCGUACAGCUCGAUGUUCGGGAUCUUAAACCUCCGAGGUAACGGGUAGUCCUCAACCUCACGAGUGAAGGGCGAGGCGGCGUAGUUGUCCUCGUACGGUUGCGGUCGCAGGAUCUGCUCGAGCUCGUCCCGGACGGGCUGCCAUUGGGGAAGGUCCCGCGGACGGCUCCUGAUUGACCGGGCGGGGGAGCGCUCCUGCUCGUUCCGUGCAAGCUUCCAUGAGGAGGGGUUCCUCAGCCGACCCCCGGCGGACCGGUCGUGAUAAGACCUCUCGCUGUCCCCGACCAUCGAGGCCUGCGGCCUGGGAGGAGUCCGCGGUCGUUUCCUCCUGGGGGGCUGGUCCCGCGACUCAUCCUCUGAGGGGAUGGGGUGCGGCCCCCUCUCCUUCCCUUUCGCCUUGGAGGUCUGCGCCCCGCCAGCCUCUCCCCCCUCCUUCGCCUGUCGGAUUAUAUCUUCCAGCAUGGGGAGAUUCUCGGUCACAAACUGAUAGAUCUGCUGUUUCCGUUCCCCAGAAAGGGUCGAGCCCCCGGCGUCUCGAGCUGCCUCGGUCUCCAGCCGCCGGGAUCCCUCGCCGGCUCCAGGAUCGGUGUUAUCCGCGGUUCGCUUGGAACGCGUCCUCGCCAUCAACACAAAUACUCGUAUCCUCGGUUCCCACAGACGGCGCCAACUGAAAAAGCACGGGACUUCCCUUAGCCGAGCUGACCUGGUAAGCUCGGGGUGCUGAUGGAAGAGCUCGUCCCAAGCCUGCAAAACAGAAAGAAGUGAUCUCACAAAGGGGGCCCCGAGGGCACUCCGACGGUCAAGUUAGUUGUCUAGUGAGCAAGAGAAGGACUAACGGUAAAGCAGUCGGGGUGAGUUGCCAAUAGUGAGCGUACCUUGUACAGUAGGUAUGUGUUACCAUUUAUACCUGUUGAGGAGUCCGACCUCCGUACGUUCCGGAACUUGCCGUGGAUAGCUCCCAGCCCCGCACUGAGGGGGAUUCCUCGCACCCUCUGCGGGAUAGCCCUAGGGAGCCUCCCGGAGCCCUAGCCGCCGCGCACCCUGGGCUGGCUCCCCGCGGGCCCGGGGUGCAAGCCCUAGCUCGGGUCGACCCUGGGCUGCCACGUGUACAGGCCCAGGAUGGGGCCUCUGCAGUUUCCUAUUAGUCUUUGCUUCACAGGUCCCCUCGGCAAGUGAAGCUGGUAUGGAUGGUGACAUCCUUGAGCAUUAUUGGCAGCCAGAAGGUUAUCCAUGCCUCAAAGGAAUAGAACAUUUUAUUAUCAUUGAUAAGCAUGCAGACCAACUCUGAUUUGCCUAAGAAGUCUAAAAUUCAACUGCUAGCUCUCAAAUUCUUCAUAUCUUGAUUAUUGUAAAUCAAACUUUCUACAAAAACAGAUUUUUAACAGUUGAAUUCAAAAGAAGCAAACCAAACUAAGACAAUCUCACUAUUGAGGGAGGGAGAGCAAAUGACGAACCUCAGUUUAGUUCAUUUUCCACCUUCAAGCUCAUUUUGCUGUUCAAGGGAUGCUUCAAGCGCUCAAAUGAAUUGGAAGAUGCUGAGUUGCUGACACCAUUUGAUGCAAAAUUGUAUGCAACAUGCAUAUAUAGGUUGUUCAAAGCUUUAGGUUUUUUAUUACUUCAAACCUUAACUCUCCUUGUUGAUAAGAACCACGUUGAUAUAUUUAUUAUUAUAACUAGGUUGACCAUGUGAUUUUUAAUUUUCAUUCUCACUUAAUCAGAGUAAAGGUGAUAUCAUAUAUCUCUUCUUCUCUUCUUACCUUUUUAUACUCUCUUUGUUUUUUUUUUUGGGUUUUUUUUUUCCUUUUGAGCGGAUUAUCAAGCCAAAUCUUAAUCAUCCCCUACAAAAAUGUCAAAAGAAAACAGCUCCACAGUGGAUUAGACAGGUGCCGCUCUAGUCACGUCUUUUUACAUACUUUGGAUUUCGAAGCUAGUGGCAGACCCAACCCUCGUGCAUGGGCAGGGUUGUAAUCGAACCGAGCUGCUUGAUUCGAACUCGGUCAAAUCGAGUUCGAGUCGAGCUCGAGCAGCUCGAUAAGGCUAUCGAGUCGAGCUCGAGCAUCCAGAAGAGAUGCUCGGAGGCUCGACGAGCCUUAUCGAGCAUAUUUAAUUUUAAUUAUUUAAUAUAUUAUUAUUAAAAUUAUAUAUAUUAUUUAAUAUAUAAAAUUACCAUUAUACCUAAAAAAAUUGUCGAAUUUACGAAAUGUUUCAAAUUAUAUAAAAAUUUUAAAAGGGCAAUAAUGACUUUUCACUCAAAAAUUAUCAAGAAAAUGAAAUUUAAUAAUUCGAGUUCGAUAGAGCUCGAUAAGGCUCGAAUGCUCAAAUGGACUUGAGCCCACGAGUCGAGCUCAAGUACUGAGAGCAAGUUUCGAGCUCGAGCUCGAGCUCCAAUAAUACUACUCGCUCAAGCUCGAGCAUCCCUAUCUCUAUGUCGAGUCGAGCUCGAGUAUGGCGAUACUUGGGUUCGACUCGACUCGAUUACAACCCUAUGCAUGGGCCAUCGCAUUGAUUGAAAUUUUCUUGCAAGAAAAUGCCAAAAGGAACUAGAUACCCAUAUGCACGAGAAGGCUUUUCACAGUCUACUGUCCUGGUUCAAUACCUCUUCUUAUAUUGAUGGUUUUGGCUGUGACUUUUUGAGUUCUUAAACCAUCUGAAUGAAAUGCUAAUGCAACCCACUAGAGAGCAAAUUAAUUAACAUCAUUAAUCAAGACUUUCUUUGAUCAACACUUUAGAUGUACUACUGAUACUACAUGACUAACAUGAGACAAAGUUGAAAACCUGCUGGAGUAUUAAAAGGGUUAAAACAGAAAUGACAAAGAGAGAUUGGACAUCAGACCCUUCAAAUUUAAACCUACCCCAGGCUUGCCAAGGAUUAGUUGCAUGAAGAAACGCACUCAAUUUGGGGCCUUUCAGAUACUUCUUCUGUGAAGGGUUCUCUCUGAUGAGACAAGUGGACCUUUAACUGUCAUGCCAGCAUAUUUGCAAUGUUUCUUUUGGACGGACGGAACCACUUUAUGUGCAAUUUGCAAAACCUUCGAGUAGGAUUGUUCAGGGGAUUGGUUCAGCUCGAACUCAGACCCAUUCCAUCCAAAGAAAAGCUCACUGAGCUUAAGUUUUAACUGGAUCGGACAGAGUUUGAACCUAAAUGUUAGGCCUGAACUUAAUAUGAGUUGAGUUUUGGUCAUAUUCGAUUCAAAUCCGAAUAAACUCGGCCCCUAUAUGAGUAUAAUUAUAUAUAUGUAAAUUAUAUAAAAUAAUAUCUAUAAUUUGAAAUUAUACAUACUACGACAUAAAAUGUUGAUAAUUUAUAUAUAAAUUUGUAUUUAUUCAUAACUAUAUAAUAUAUUUUAUAUUUAAUUAUGUAUUUAAUUAUGAAUUUGGGCCAAAACAGAUUUGAGCACGAAACUCAUAUAACAAUGUGAGUUGAGUUCGACCCUUUUAAUAUGAACCCAAAACCUGAAAUCCAAAAAUCCAUAUAAUUUGUGAGUCAGAGAUUGAAUUUGCCAAACUUCGACUCAAAAAAGCUCAAUUGACACCCCUAUCUUUGAGGAUUGAGGAAAUGAUGAGAUCUCCUCCAUUGAUUGUUAUUUGCUCAAAGUUCAUUUAAAAAGAAUCUAAACUUUAAUUACUGUUUGUUGGUCUUAAGUAGUAGUACUUUUGAUGCCAUAGGGUCCCGACUGUCGGAAACUAUCUGAGUUGGCUAAUAAUAAAAGCCAAAUAACAAAGCGGGUAUGGAUAGAAGAUUAUUUGAUAAAUUUAAAUAGAAUAUUAUUUUUAAAAAUUAUAAUAAUACUGUAGCCAUUUUUUGUAACAUGAUAUAUGUUUGAUGAGAGAAUGAAUAAAAUAUUUUUUUUAAAAAAUUUAAAAACAUAUUCGCAAUUAAAAAUUUCAUCCCCCUCCCCAGCAAUAAUGAAGUAUCAUACAAAUCAUUCUUGUUUUUUUUUUUGGGUUAAUGUAUUAAGACAUUCUUGUUUGGUGCUAGUGAGUUGAAAAAAAAAAAGCAAAGACAUUGAUGCAUUUUGUGUCAUAGACAGAAAAGACAGUAAAUAUAAGAGGAAGAAAAUAUAUUGCACGCUUAAAUUGUUCGUGACGUCGAUGACCGACUAAGGUUUAUUUCUCCAUAUGGAUGGGUAGCCAAGUCAGCAAGUAAUCCAUUAAUUAGUCGACGUUGACAACUCGAGCAUCUUCCAUUAACGGAUGUACGCUAUUUCACAAAAAUAGUUUCAGGAAUUUAUCUAACUGUUCUUUUUGAGUGUAAAAUGUCCCUUAAAGUUUUGAAAUGAUUUUGUAGUAAAAUUUUCAACGCAUGCAAAUUUUGAUAACUGACGUCAUCUAAAGUUGAAUUUUUAUGCAACCCACCUCUUGAAAAUCCAUCAUUUAUCCAACAUCUGCUGUGACUUGGUGCACAGCUGCACCAUGGGACAAACAUGUGAGACUCAUGAUCAAGUGUGCGGGAUUUACAUGUUUGUGUUCGCGUUGCACCUGGUUUAUAAUAGAAAAAAUUAUAUAUACAUCACGAAAGGUAACAAAAACUUGGAGCUUAUGAGAAUUUGUUUUUAUUUGCAAUUUGACAGAAAAAAUUUCUUCUGGAGGAAUUGCAUGAAACCCAUAAGGAGGAUUCAGGAUUGUGAUAAGAAACUUUUAGUAAUUGAACAAAUAAUUAAUUUAUUUUGUAACAAAUACGUCGGUUAAUGAAAUUAAGUUUUGAACAAAUGACACGUAAAAGAUUAUUAAUGCAUUGACAAAUGAAUGCUCUUAACAUAUUCAAAUGAAUAGACUACAAAGUUGACAAUUGUUUAGAGUCGCAUCAAACCUUACAGAAACUUUGACAGUUUUUAUGGCAUUACCAUAAAUACUACAAGUAGGAGUACUUAUAUGACGAGUACUUCAAUAGCGGUUAAGUUAAAUCUUCAAAAGAGUAGUAGAAGAAAGGAAAAGUAGACAACAACCCGAGUAUCUCCAUCCAUCUCCGACCUCUCCGGGUCUCUCUCAAGUUUCCAGUUCCACAUGACCGCCCACGUCCAGCUGCAUCCAACUGACUGACUCAGCUGCGGCCCGACGAUCGAGUCUUGCCUCCGUGCUAUAUAUUCUGUCGAAUCUUUUCCUUCUCUGAAAAAAUUCUCGCCGGAAUAUUCCAUAAUACUCUCGCAUUUUCUUUUAAACACGCAAUGGUCGCAUCUGCUCGACGUUGAUUAUACAGGCAUGUAUCUGUCUCUUCAAUUAGCUGAUGUUAGCCUAAUGAUGUCGAUUUAAGCUUUUGUGUUUGGUUUUUUUUUUUUUUUUUUUUCCUUCCUUCUAAAAAAUGACAGUAAUUAGAUUGAUAUGUUUAUCGUGCAAUUUUUUAUUUUUUUUUGCGAGGUUAUAAACAUGCUUCUGUGAAUGGACGUGCUAAGAGUUCUUCGUCUGUACAUGUAUUUGACCAUUUUAUAUGGCGAUUUAUUUGUUCUUGGGGAAUUUAUGUCGUGAUCAUGUGAAUUUCUGGGGGCUUUUGUGUUUUUUUUUUGGGGGCUCGGGGGAAUUAUUCACCUAUUUUUUAUUUUAGUUUUUUUUUUUAUAUUGGAGUUAUUACGGAUUCUUAAGGAGGUGUGUUAUAUGCUGGUUGAGAACUGAGAUAUUUGUUGUGGUGGUGGUGGGAGUUAGGAAAUGAGCGUUGAGACAGAAUGAAGAGGGUGGUGAAGAAAAAGCUAGGCAAGUAUGAGCUGGGAAGAACCAUUGGAGAAGGAACUUUUGCAAAGGUUAAGUUUGCACAGAACACCGAGACGGGCGAGAGCGUGGCUGUCAAAGUCUUGGCCAAGAGUACUAUUCUCAAGCACAAAAUGGUUGAUCAGGUAUCCAAUUUCGGUUUCCUCUUCAAAAUUUUACCUUGAAAGGGGAUGAUGCAUUUCUUAAAAUGGCUAUAGCUGCAUAUCCCUAAAUUACAGAGUUUUACUUUUUCCAGUUGGUGUCAGAAUCCAUUGUUGAAUAUUCGGAUUAUUGUAUAGAUAAGUAAAAUAUCAGCUGAUUAAAUAUGUGUGUGCGUUUUGAUUCGAAGAAAAGAUACUCCACAUUUAUGGGACUUUUAUGGGCAUUAAAGCGGAAAAUGAUAAGAAAAGGAAGACAUUCUUUAAUAUACAUGCAAUGCCUUCCAAAAGUUAAAUAUUUCGAUAUUCUUGUCCAACUUUUACGUGAAAGAAGAAGAUUUAGUGAGAGUAAGAGCCCAAGAGGAAAUUCAUUUUCUUUUACUUGGGAUUAUAUAAUUUACCUAGACUUAUGCAUACAACAGUAAGUCGCAAAUUGAUAAUUCUUCCACCUUAAUUUGAGGUGAAUCAACGUUGUGAAAGAUUUCUUUUUUUAAUAUUUAACUUGUCUCUUCCUCUCAGGGUGGAUGAAUUUACUGACUUGCUUACUCCUUUACCAGAUAAAAAGAGAGAUUUCAAUAAUGAAGAUAGUAAGACAUCCAUACAUAGUCAGGCUUCAUGAGGUAAGCUUAAACUUUCCAUGAUUUACCGGAUUACCGUUCUCUCUGUCUAUCUAUCUAUCUCUCUUUCUUUCUUUGUCACAAAUUAAGAGUUCUGUGUAUGAUGCUGUCAUUGUUCGGCUUGCUGCUUAUAUUUUGUAUUUUAUUUUUUCUUUUGUAGGUGUUAGCAAGCAAGACGAAGAUAUUCAUUGUACUUGAGUUUGUUACUGGAGGAGAACUCUUUGAUAAAAUUGUAAGCCUUUUGCACUAUAGUUGACACAUAAAAUAACAUGGUUAAAGCAAAAACUUCAAGCCUAAGAUCAUUAUGCAUAAGCCUUUUCUUGGAUCGUGAAUUAAUAACACUAUCAAGCAUAAAAUGCAUUUGGAUAUUCAUUUCUGCAGCCAAUGAAGUUCUCUCACAAGUAGGAUUCACAGGUUUCUGUUAUUUCUGUAAUUUAAAGUCGAACUUAAGCUCUAUUCUGGUUUCUGUUUCAAUUUAUUGACGUUGUUUUGGUCCACAGAGCUUUGUUCUUCUGAUUGGCAACUUUCAGCUGCAACUCUACCUCAAAGUUCUUUUGCGUGAACAGGUUCACCAGGGAAGGCUUUCAGAGGAUGAUUCCAGGCGGUACUUUCAGCAACUUAUAGAUGCAGUUGCACACUGUCACAGUAAGGGUGUAUACCACAGAGAUUUAAAGGUUCGAAAUUGCACUUUUUGACUUCAAUAUAGCAAGUAAUAUUUUUCCCGGUUUUGAUCCUAAUUUUUGAAAGUGUAUCUUGGAUCUCUAGCCUGAAAAUUUGCUCCUUGAUUCCCAAGGAAACUUGAAGGUAUCUGAUUUUGGACUCAGUGCACUACCUCAACAAGUAAGUAAUGACCUAAUCGAUUAGCAUUUUCUUGAAUUUUAGCCUAUAUAUACUGUAUAGAUGCAAUUUUAGCUUCUCUAUAUUCUAUGCUUCUUUCUGUCAACUCUUUAUUCUUUCUCCAUUCGGUAAGUUGGGGGACACAGAAAGCAGUGGAUAUUCAACUAAACUAAUGGUUCUAUUCCUUUGCAUAAAUUCGUUGGCAGGGAGUUGAUCUUCUACAUACAACUUGCGGAACUCCAAAUUAUGUGGCACCUGAGGCAUGUUUCUUAAACUUCUUUUAAUUGGAAUUUCAAACUUGCAAGGUCCUUAAAGCUGCGGCAGGCUUUUCAGUAUAUCUUCUUUUUUUUUUCUCAAUAGAACCUUUUCAUGUGCCUACUCAGAUUUUGUUAACUUUUCAUGGGAAGGGCUACGACAAUCCUAAGUCAAUAUUUGAGGAAGUUUGUCGUCUUCACAAGAAAUUACAUGUUUUUUCCUCCUAUCUAAAUUGUUCUGCGCAUUCUUGUUCCUAGGUCUUUCCUAACCUAAUAACUCUCUCAACACUUGUGGUUUGCCUUAUGGCUUGAAUUGAGCUUGGAGGUGAAAAGAAUAUCUGCUUUUUUGUGCCUUCAGUCAUUUCUUCUUUAAUCUCUAUAUAUUACUGUUAUGCAUUAUUGGUUAGACUUCAUUUCAUCUCGUAAUCUCCUGGGAGUUAAAUAAUUCUAUCUCUUCAGGUGUUAAGCCACCGUGGUUAUGAUGGUGCUGCCGCUGAUCUGUGGUCAUGUGGAGUUAUUCUUUAUGUGUUGACAGCAGGAUACCUCCCUUUUGAUGAGAGAGACCUUCCAACCUUGUAUCAAAAGGUCAGCUACUGUUAAUACUAUUGAGCACGUUAAAUAUGCAUGAGUAAUAUUGAAAUAAAUUUCAACUUACCAAUUUGCUUUAUAGAAGGUCCUCUAACACACCUUUGUGAUGCAUUUUUUUGAAAUUCGUGGCCUUUUACUUUGUUGGAGGGUCACACAGAAGAGUGUUGGUGAUCUGUAUUUUAUUACUUCGUUGUAUGUUUGGGACCUUUAUAUCUUGUUCUGGAUCUGAUUUGGCUUAUCAUCUCAUGCUUAAGUCCCCACCUCUUGUCAUGCUUCUUGAUGUCCAUUCAUUUAUUUUGUUGAAGUUGAGCUUUUGUGAAUACAUCAAGAGAGCUUUGAACCAUAGCUUUGAGAAACUGUUUUUUAAAUUUUACAGUAACCUAGCAUAGGGAAGUCAAAACUGUUUCACAAUGGAUUCGCAUACACUGUGUUUUAGCGUUUCGACAAACUCAUUUUCUGUACGCGCCCAGUCGGCAGCCCAUCUUUUCCCCCAUGUCUAUCUGCUUGUCCGUCUGUUGGCAGUGGAACCACAUAUACUGUGUCUGAGCCUUUCAGCAAACUCAUUUCCUGUAUGUGACUGGGUUGGUCUGGUAGCCCAUCUUUUCCUUGAUGUUCAUUUGAUUGUCUGUCUGUCUGUCUGUCUCUGUCUCUGUCCCUCUCCAUGUUUUUGCUGACGUAGGUAUACCUUCCACCAUGGUAUCUCUUCACUAUUUUGAACAUGUUUUAGUGUCUGCACUAGCAUGUAAAAUUUCUGACUUCUUUUUUUGUAUAUGCAGAUCAACGCUGCAGAAUUUUCAUGUCCAUUUUGGUUUUCUCCUGGUGUUGCAGCAUUGUUACUUAAAAUACUUGAUCCCAACCCUGAAACUGUGAGUGAAGAUAUCAUAUCUGCUUUUAAUACAGAUCAUUUCUUUGUAUUUAAUAUAAAGGUGGACCAGAAGUUAAUAGGUCGUUAUUUGUUGAUUCCUUUUAUGUCCUUGUAGCUUUAAAAUGUUAAAGUAGUGCUAGAAGAAAUUUACCAUAAAAAGGAUUGUAUAGAUCUGUUCUGACUUUAUUUUGUUUUCACGAGGAAAAUAAUUAUUUUGGAGAGCUAGAAAGGUCAAGAUGUGUUAGAGGCUACUAUGAAUGAUCGAAUGAAAUUGGAGCAAUAAAGAUCCUGUGUUGUUAUUAGGGCAUUGAUAUGCCAAUUGAAAAAUGUUCCUCACAAAGGCCACCAACUUUAAUUCUCUUUUUGUGAAAGUAAGAAAGCAAGUUUCUUCUAAAUUAGGCUCAGUGGAAUGGAUGAAGUGAAAUAAUUUUUUAUAGGCCAAGCUUGCUCUCUUGUAUAGGCCAAGCUAGGAAAUUUCUUGUCUUAUUCUUGUGUAUUUGGCCCUCUCUUCUUAACAAGCAAAUAAAAGUAGCAUCCUUUUUCAUUGCUUUGUAUUUACUCUUUGCUUGCGUUGUUGAAAAUCUUUACAUACCAUUACAUACUUUUGAAGUUUUACCCAAUGAAAUUAAUGCAUUCUAUCUCUAAAUUUCACAAUUUUGACGAAAUCAAGGUCAAGAAAUGAUACCAGUUUUAUUUAUCACUAUACAGAACAUUAUAAUAGUAGUGGAACAAUUUAAGAUGAACUGAAAAUGAGGCAGAAAACUAUAUUGAGAUGAAGCAUCAAGACACAAUGGUAGUUUGACAAAUGUACCAAAAUUUGCAGAGUUACAUGGUAGAUGAAAAGGUUUUGGAUAAAAAUAGAGUAGACUCAUGAAAUGAUUCUUCUGUGUCAUUGAUUGUCUGAGAGAGGUUUUACCAAAUGUAAAUGGAAAAGUUAAUCCACCCAAGUCACUGACAAAUUUCCUUCUCUUCUAGUAAUCAGAAAACACUUUUAUGAUGAAAUGACACGAGACAUUUAAAGCAUGAAGAGAUGCCUCUUUUCUCUGGCUCAUAUAAUCCCCAUACCAUACAAUGGUUGACAAGUCUGUAUUGCAUGUUUAGCUCAUAAAUGUCCCAGCAUGUUUUGGUCUUGAUGCAAUUGAUCUGGUAGUACGAGCCCCUACCCAGCAAAUUUUAUGCUCACUUCUGAAGUGGUUUAUUCUUAUGUACUGAAAAGUCGUGUCCAAACUUUGUCACCUGUGUUUGGAUUUGACAUCAUUCUAAUAUGUGAUUCCCUUUUAUGAAAUCUGAUUGACUUCUUUAUUCUGUAACUGAAUCAAUUGUAAAUGCAGCGAAUUAAGAUUGAUGGAAUAAGAAGAGACCGAUGGUUCCGGAAAAACUACGUGGCUGUCAGACACAAAGAAGAUGAAGCGGUGAAUUUGGAUGAUGUUGAUGCUGUUUUUGAUGACAUCGAGGUUGUCUCCUUUUAUAUGAGAUAAAAAUAAAUUUACCGAGCAAAAUAUGUAGCUUGGUAGAGAAUUAUAAGUGAGGUUUCAACACGCCUUUGAGAACAUCUCAUGUGAUGUCUCGGUUUUGGUAUUUUUUCCGACAAUAUUUUGUCUUGUGUUGCAACAUCCUUCGAUCUGUAGGUACUUACUGGAGAUAGAAUAACAAGAUGCUUUUAGGACCAAGAUUAUCGAUUUUUCUUUUAAAAACCUUUUGUUUUAGACCCAACAAAAGUUGCUUGCUUAUUAGGUCUCUGGCUUUCAAUUGGUUGUCUUGUUCUUCAUUUAUGCAGGAUCACUAUGUAAAAGAACAAUCUGAAAAUAAGGACAGUGGCCCUCUCCUCAUGAACGCAUUUGAGAUGAUUACUCUAUCUCAAGGAUUAAACCUAUCAGUCUUAUUUGACAGGCAGCAGGUAGACUUGUUUUCUCUUCAGCUCAUUAUCAAUAGCAGAAGACAAAAGAAAUCAAUGGCUCAUCAAUUGCUAAUUGUUUUUUUUUUUCCUUUGUAAUGUUGACCAUGGUAGAUACGAACCAAUCACAUCCCAAUUGAUUACAGCUCUGUUCCUUCUCUUCCUCUCCUGAAUGUCCUUUCUCCAACUUCUAUUUUUUCUGAAGGGUGGAAUCGUCAAGUUGGGGAAUCUUUGGGUUGGAAUUGGUGAUACGUUCCUCCCCACCUUUCUGAAGUUAGACACAUAACACAUAAACAAUUACACUCACACACUCUCUCUCUCUCUCUCUCUCUCUGUGGGUGUGGUGUGUCUCUGCAUUUGCAGGGUUGACUUAUUUUCUAGGAAGUUUCACCCUUUCAUUUUGUACACCUAUUUGACAUGCUAAUCCCAGUGCCUUCGUUUUCCAUUCCCCUAACAAUGCUGUACAUUGAUGAACCAGAAGCAAUUGACUAAACCUUUACCUGAUACAGGACUGUGUCAAGCGGCAAACCCGUUUUGUUUCACGCCAACCUGCUAAAGUGAUAAUUGCAACAAUUGAAGCAGCUGGAGAAUCAUUCGGUCUAAAGGUUCAUACACGAAACUACAAGGUACACGUUGAAGCAUAAGCAAGUCCAACUAUCAAUAUUUACCAGUAUAACUAUUGAAUUCUGUGCUUGUCUUGGUUAUAACAAGUUCUUUGAUAUCAGAGUUGAUCAAAAGCACAAAUGCCUGGUGAAAUAUUUUGAUGCUAGUUAGAGUUAGAUUUGUUAUUUAACACGGCAAAGUAACCUGUUCGCAAAGUUUUUUUUUCUUUUAAUCAACUUUUCACUGUGGUCCAAGGAAUUUUACUUAUUGUAUUAUACAGACAAGACUUGAAGGUGUAUCUGCAAACAAGGCUGGUCAAUUUGCUGUUGUUCUGGAGGUAUUCCUGAAUAAAUUACUUCAAACUUCUUUCAAUAUGAGGUCCUUACUGGAUCAUAGGCCCAAUCUAUUGCCCCUUCAAUUGUUUGGGAAGGUUGAUGUUGGGCAUAGUGAAUUAUUUUAGAUAAGUUGCAGUAAGGGAAGAAAAAUGGUCUACACACCCAAGCAGUUGGUGUACAUGACUAAUUCUGUAUCUCUGAUGUGAAUAUAGUCAUAUCCCCACCAUUAACCUCCCAGAGAAAUUGAGGAGCCCAUCCCAUUGGCUGUGGCCCACCAUUGACUAGCAGCUUGAAUCCUCUUUUCUGAUUUAACUUUGCUUGGUAUGUUAAGGUUUUUGAAGUUGCACCGUCUCUUUUCAUGGUGGAUGUCCGAAAGGCUGCUGGGGAUACGCUUGAGUAUCAUAAGGUUAGCUUGUUUUGUCAGGCAAGUUUGCUUGUUUUUGCUAGUUAAUGCUGCUUAUAUGGCUUAUUUGUUGCAGUUUUACAAGAACUUCUGUGCUAAGCUUGAUCAUAUUAUUUGGAAAACAAAGGAGGGUGUUUCAGACACUGCUCUGCUUGGAACUAUGACUCGCCGAUCCGGUUGUGCAGGUGUGAAGCAAAUCAGUUAGCAGCCCAUCCCCAUUAACAAGUACAACAAAGAUAUCAGCAAGUGGCGCUUGGGCUUUGAUGUAGCGUCAAAUCCAGUGCAGGUGAAUAAAUUUGAUAUAGCGUGAAAUAUGUAGCCUCCUGUGUGGGUACUAGAUUUGUUUUAGUAUUGCCCUGCGGUACAUCGACGUACUGGCUCUUUGCAUGGUCCCUUCCAAGCUGCUUCCUUCAACCAUAAUUGUGAAAAGAGAAGCUGUAUCCUCCACAAAAUGACGUACCCAGUUCAAGAUGUGUACAUCGUGAUGUAUGAAAUGCAAGGAAACUAUCUUUUUAUAUGAACAAUAGGUCCAUUAUGUAAAUAUCUUUGGAUUACAGGAAAUAAGUAGUGUUCAAUUUUUACUAUUUUCGUUAGGGUUUAUCAUGUGGAUUUUUGUUUUUGUAGACUGUCAAGAACAUAACCCUCUUCGUUGGCUUCGUGGAUCAUCCACCUCUUGGCAGAGUUUUGACUCUUGGAAGCAAUCUAUGCGGAAUUUUGUACCUCUUCACUGUACUACUAGCAUUCAACUCUCAAACUGGCCCCUUCCAUGCUUCAAUGCUUCAUACAACACGAUAUUGAAGGUAGUGAUGGUAGUGCUGUAUGAACGACUGGUAGUUUAACAAUUGAAUGGCAGCAGUACGAGGAAAGGGGCAGAGUACGCCAAAUUCACUUGCGAAUUUCCCUUUGUAUCUAUUGAAAUUGCAAAAUUUUGAUGAUGAAAAAGGAAUUUACCUUUGAACUGGAAAGGUAUAAGAAAUUAUCCCUUUACGAAGAAAAACUUGGCCUUAUAAAGCAUUCCAACAAAACAAAAAAAAAAAAGCAAAAAGAAUUCUCUUCUACAAGAAAUGCGCUAAAAAUUCUAAAUUUGAUUUGUGAAUUAUUUGUGCUCGACUGGCUUCAGUAUUCAAUCUAGUUGGGCUCGGUUCUACAAUUACUCUGGAGUUUGAUGUGCUUAAUUGAACUCCACGGAAAUUAGCGUGUUUGGAUAGAGCAUUUUUGUAAAUUUUUUUAUUGCAUCACAAACAUGUUUUUUAAUAACUUUUUUUAUUUUCUCAAUCACUUUUUAUUUUACGUAUAUCACAUCAUAUAAAGUGUUAUACUAUUUUUUUUUUAUACAAUGUUAUUCCAAAUAAUCUCCUAUCCAAACACCAAACGUCUUUUCGGCUCCAGAUCCAUAGUUUGCUGGGUCUGGAUUCUAAACCAUGUUAAGAUGCCCAUUAAGAAAUAGCCUGCUAAUUCACACCAGCUGAUCCAUUUUGCCGAAACUUUUUUCAGCAGGUAAAGAAUGUGACAUGAUUUACGUUGCAUAGAUUUCUGCUCUUCAUUUUACAUUAUAGAUAGUAGUUCUUACUUUUUGGGAGUAGAAAAUAUCAGGUUUCGAAUUCUACUAUAAAAUUAUGGUAGAACAUAGGGAGAUUACUCUGUGAAAUUUGCUAGGGGAAAAACCUUAUGAAACUGUUGCUGAUUCAUCAUCUAUAGCUAGUGGAGGAUUUUGUUGUUUUAUUUAAGCGAAAAACCUUAUGCAACUUUUGCGAGACCAGACAAUUCCUGCAGUGGAGCACUGCCACAAAAACAUGGUGGCUCAUCGGGAUCUUAAACCUAAGAAUUUUGCUCUUGGAUUCCAACGAAAAUGUGAAGAUUUCUGAUUUUGGCUCAAGUAAUACCAUGCACGAUGGUCAUUUUCUGAAGGCCAGUUGUGGAAAUCCAAACUAUGCUGCUCCAGAGGUUUCACUAGGAGCAAACACUUUUGUUGGCCUGAAACAGAUUUUUACAAAAAAUGCCUUGAAAUUUCCAAGUUUAUUGUUUGGUAAAUUACAUUUUACCCCAGUGAUUUAGUAUUUUAUCAUAUAACACCCUUAUAAUUUAAAAACCUAUAUAUAACUCCCUCAUGAUUUAGGUUAAAGUGUCAUCAUUAGUUUUUUCAUUAAAACUAAUGGUCAAUAGUAAGUCAUUUUUUUCACUCAGGGCGUGGGGGAAUGCCGGCUGGAACCAUCAAAACCAAACAAAUAAAUUGACAAAUUCAUCAUUUCACUACUUUCCCCCCCCCCCUUUUUUUCCUUCUCUCUCUCUCUGGGGGAAGAGAAGAGAUAAUUUUGGAAACCUAUACUAUGGCCCACAAAAUCUUAAUUUUUCUCAAAUGCAAAAGAGAUGGAAGGGAAAUAAAAAAUAAAUAAAUAAGAAACAAAAAAGAUGGAAGGGAAAUAAAAAAUAAAUAAGAAACAAAAAUACCAAAUCUUUUUUGACUACAAAUAUUAUUAUAGGUUUUAAAAUUAAAUCUUUAAAGGUAUUUUCUAGUUCUUAUUUAUCUAUUUUUCAUUUUAAUUUCUUCUUUUUUAUAUUUGGAGAAAAAGAAGUAAUGAAAGGGUAAAGAUAUAUAGGUUUUUAAACCCAAAUAAGAGUUAUGUGAUAAAGCACCAAAUCACAGGGAAUUUAAAAGAUAAUUUACCCUUCAUUGUUCUUAUUGUGAGCGGUGUUUUUGUUUCAUUAGUGGAUUAGAACCAUAAUGUUUAUCAUGUACCUAGCUAAUAUCAGGAAAUCUAUAUUCUGGACUUGAGGUGAACGUAUGGAGCCGUGGUGUUAUUUUGCAUGCCCUUCUCUAUGGCACCUCCCAUUUGAUGAUGAAAAUAUUCCUAACGUCUUUAAGAAACUAGAGGUGAGUUGAACAUUUUUUUUCCCUCCUGCAACUUUGUUUUUUUUUUUUUAAUAAGAAGUAGAAGAGAAAGGUGUUAUCAUGUCAUUGAGAAGUGUGGCAAGGAUUUGCUAAGUUUAUGCUAAUCUAAGAUGUCGUUUCUGUACUUUGUAGGAUAGUCUUGAGUUCAAGUGAUGCUAGCUGAUGAAUGAACGAGAGAUGAUGGUAAAGUGAUGGCUUUUUGUCUUUGAAAUUUAAUAAGCAUUAGACUAACAUGUUCCGUAGGCAAAUUCGCAAGAAUUGCGUUUAUAGUCGGUCCCUUUUUUGGUUUAGAGUUCGGACGGAUUUGUUUGUAAAAUUUGACUUUGAUUUUCAAAAUUCUAGUUAUGCUUUAUAAUCGUUUGGGGAAGACCUGAACCUUCCUUGAUGACGAGCAUAAUACUACUUACUGUCUUUAAUAUUCUUUUCUCUCUCUCUCUCUCUCUCUCUCUGUGUGCCCGCAAGUUUUACAUCUUAGAGCUAGAACAAGACAGAGAGUAAUCUCAGAAAGAAAUGGGGACUACACUAGUGGAUUAGGUUGGUUGAACAAAUCCCUGAGAUAUCCGUCAAUGCAUUGAAUCUGCAGGCAGGCACGCAGAUUCAAGCAGAUAUGGAAGGUGUAGAAAUGUCAAGCCCUCCAGUCCUAGUUUUGAAUAUUAAAAUUUGCUGCAGCAACCUUAAUUUAAUGUUGUCGGGUUCUUGAUUUUUAUUGUGAUGCGGCAUCUUCUUCACGUUCAUGAAAGCAGCCACUCUUUUUCCGACCAGUAACCGUGUAAGAACUCCCUUCUCUCCCCUCCCUCCCCCCCAAAAACCAAAAAAAAAGGAGAAAAAAAGUUGAUCCUAGUAGUCGCAUUUGCUCAUCAAGGAAAAUCUCGCAUUCAAAACAUUAUUGUCAUGAUUAUGGCCGGUGGAAACUAUUCAAAGAACACAACAUGAUUUUACUACCACUUGAAAAUAAACUUGUAUAAACAGACAGACUGAAACACAAUUCGCACGGUGUCUCGUAGUACAUAGAGGACUCAUGGUACACAGAUCAUAAGCAUGGAAGGAACCUGAAAACAAUAGGGACCCGACAGACCCUAUCAAAAAACAAGGACUAUGGCGAUGAAAAACAACCAGCGAGCUGGUUGUUGCGGCAAACAAAGAUGAACUAGCUACCGCUGCCAAAGCCCCAUGAAAUCAGGCACUCAUGCUCCAGAACCUGCCCCCCAGAGCUGCCACACUCAGUGAACUCCCAACAAGAGAGCUCGACGCUUUUUAACAUUAUUACAUAUACAUACAUAGAUUAUUGACCUCCUACUUGAAUCCCUCAUAACUGGAAGAGCCAGAAAGGAAUCUUAUUCAAAGCACCAAGGACGAGAAACGCAUGACCAGCUAAAACAUGCAGAGUGGAGGGGACUACAACCCUAGAACCUCAAACUCGAGAUGACAUGUAGCUAUGAGUGGAAACCUGAAAAAAGGACCCAGUAACUGUAUGAUUCUCAGCAAGCCAUGGCGCUCGAAAGAGGCAGUCCCGACCACAGGGGGAACUAAAAGAGCUGCAACAGGCCGCCGUUCAACAAGAAAAUGGAGCCUGCUAAAAAGGUUGAAAAGUAGUCGCCAUGGUUUGCUGGAAAAUGACCAAGCCACUGACUGAGCUACCAGAAGUCUCACUGAUGAUGGCCUAAAAACUGGUUUCAGUAUGCUGCUACCUCUCUGAGCCAGAUGUACGAGGCUGUGUCACAUAUGCUUCUACUUCUUCUGCAACCCAUUCAGAUCAACAUCUUUACAAACUCCUAGUCGCCUGGCUAGGAGAGGAUAUCACAUCUCCACAAGUUUUCAACCAGCCGUUCAAUACUACUGCUGCUUAUGGAAUUGCAGUGUUGGAGAUUUAACCCAACCAAAGUCUCUCCCAAUUUUUUAAGAUGAGGCAAGCUCCUGUUUGAUACCAUGGAGCAACCGGAUAACGAGAGGACUUGCAGAUUUAAGUGCACUCCAUUGGACAGGGCAGCAACACCAGAAUCAGUGAUGGAACACUUUGAAACAUCAAGAUCAUUGAGAAAUAAACAACUGUCCGCUAUCGCUACCAAGCUUGCAUCAGUAACCUUCUUGCAACCCUCAAGAUUUAGUAACUCAAGUGUUGCACCGUGGAGCUCAGCCAAUGCUAUAAUUACUUUGUCCGUCAAGUUUCCACAAUCACUUAGAUUCACCUUCACAAGUGACUCGCAGCUCUCCAGAAGUGGGAGAAGUGCAGCAUCUGUUAUUCCACAAAGGCCACUAAGAUCUAAGUGAUGCAGCUGGGGACACAGCUUCCCCACCAAAGCCAAGCUAGUACUGUUAAACCAUGGGCAGCUUCUGAUGGACAAGGAUCGAAGAGAUUCGCAAGGUGAAAGGGCAGGAGUUUCUGAAGGCAUGCUCUUGAUUCCCAUGCACUUGACAAUAGAAAGAGACUUUAAUUUUGAAUUACAGUUUGAAAGCGCAUUAAGAAUUCCUGUUUCAGUGAUCCUGUUGCACUCCUCCAAUUGUAAGCACUCAAGAGAUCCAGCAGCCUUAGCAAAAGCCACCAGCCCAUUAUCAGACACAAAGCAACACUUACGAAGACACAUCUGCCUCAGAUUUGGACACCCCUUGCCCAAUGCUUCGAGGCUCAAAUCUGAAGUCCCCCUACAUGAAGUAAUAGUUAAAGAAGAUAGCAUCCGUAGACCCUGAGCAUUGCCCAUAACCCAAAAGCCCUUCUGGCUCACAUUUUGAAGUCCAGUUAGCACAAGGUUUGUGAUGGACUUGCCAUAAUGACCAAUCACAGCCAGAGAGAAAUCUGAGAUAUUUAGAACUUGGAGUUUCACCUUUGUCAAUGCAACUGAGGCUGAUGAUAAGAGACCUGCAACCCCUUGGUCACCAAUAAGAGGGCAGUCCUUAAUAGUUAUUGAUUGAAGCUUAGGACAAUAACUUCCAAUAGCUUGCAGACUCUCAUUCCCGAUAUUUGAACAUGAUUCAAUAGUCAGAGCACUUAAACUUGGGCAAUUCUUUGCAACUGCAGCUAGUCCCUUGUCAGAGAUUGAUGGACACUGGCAAAGGUCAAGUUUCUCUAAUGAAUGGCAUUCUCUUGCAAUCUCAAACAGACCUUCGUCCCCAAUAGCUGGGACAUUCCACAGAGAAAGUGCCCUCAGAGAAGGGCAACCAUGGGCAAUUGCUGAUAGACCAUUAUUUGUAACUCCACGAACAGAGUUGCAUCCCCUGACUGAAAGCUUACCGAGUCCUCCACGGCAAGCAGUCCCAACAGCAAUAGCAGCUAGUCUAACAUCUGUUGCCUUCUUUCCUUCCAAGGACCUUGUAAGGUAACCAUUGCACUCUAUUUCCAUAUCUCCAUCAGCAGAGAUCAUUUCCACAUCACUUUCUGUUUUCUUCACUUCUUUAGUAGCUAAUUGUUCCUGAGGGCUAUUGCUCCUGCAAAAUUCAGAGUUGCGGACACUACUUAAGAGCAUGAGCCAGCGUUUGGAAACACAAGCUGAGGCACUCCUCUCUUGUGCUCCAGGAAGGCGUCUAAAGAUCUCAAAUAGGCACUCGUCAGGAAGAGUUUCAAUGGAAGGGUUCCGCUCUUUGUCAAACAAACGACUGUCAACAGCAUAUGGUGCGCUAACACGUGAACGUUUUCUAGGAGGGCAAUAAACAUCAGCAAUAGAUAGCACGAGCCCUGAAUCAGCAGAACAGAUUGACCGCCCAGCGUAGAAAUCAUCAUCACCUGCAACAACAUGACAGAACUAAACAUCAGCUACUUUUACGAUAUUAAUGCACAACAACACGACAACAACUAGUUAUCAGCCAAUUUUCUCGCUAAAUGACAGGAAUGGAAUAUCGGCUAUGAUUUCACAUCAACCCGACAACUAGUUCAGCUAAUUUUCCAGCUAAACAACAGGAACAGAACAUCAGCUAUGAUUUCACAGUAACCUACAGCAAUAGGCCAACCACCAAUCAACUAUUUUUUCCCUAUAAAAAACUCUAUUCUGGAUCUAUCAAAUUUUCCUAAUAAAGAAAUUUCCAAAUGCACUUAAAUGGAUAUAGCAAUCAAAGCAGCUUCAUGUUCAGAUUUGCAAUUUCAUUUACUAGUUCAUCUCUUUACAAGCAAACAGAUACUAAAUUAUAGUGAAAACUAAUCUUUGUUCCUUUUAGCUAAUCAAAAUUAGGUCACACAACCAAGAUUAUGUUAUGCAUAUCGCAAAGAGUGUCACAACAGAAACCAUGUUCAAGUAUCGUUAACUAAGAUCUUGAGGGAAAAAAUCCCAUCAUGAAGAACUUUAUAUGAUUUUGACAGUAAAAGUAGCACUCCAUAUCAUAAAUUGUUCAAAAGCAAAAGAGUAAUACCACACAUCAUCAUUCAAAAGCAAAACUGGAUUCUCAACCAAAAUAAGAUUAUCUCCAACCACAACUAGAUCACAAGUCAUACAUAUGAGUGAUGUGAACAAGGCGGAAGAAAACAUAAAAGGCAUUAAAACCCAAAAAGAUACAGCAUUACUAUCCACGAGAUGAUAAGCCAAUCUUAAACUGAAUAAUACUACUUAUCUAAAUCAAACCUGAUGCACACUCCAUUAAUAGAACAAAUGCAGAAACCAGACAGGAAAAGAUCAAGACUAUAAUUUUAAUCUUAGAACCCAAGAAUCAAAAUUCAUCCAAAUAAACAGGAACGUGAAACAAAAGCUGAAAAAGAGUCAAAACCAACACAUACAAAAAGUUUUUCAGAAACUUACCACCAUAAUUAACAAGAGCAGGCAUGGUUGUUGUUGUUGUUCACUAGAAAACCCCCGAGGAAGAGCAAAAAAGAUGAGACUUUUCACCAAAAAGAGCACAACCCAGAUCAGAUCUUCAACCAAAACUUGCAUUUACAGAAAAACAAAGCUGAAGACCUCUCAAAAAAUAACCCCACGAAAUAGUAGGGCAAAAAAAAGAUGAAGAGAGUGAAAGAAAGAAGGAAAGAAGCUUGGGAUGAGAGGACUUUCUGGUUUGCUUCACAACAGUUAUCGAUGGGAAGUCAUGUUUAUAUAUACAGCUGCUAAUAUAAUAGCAGCAGUACAGGAAAAGAAUAUAAUAAUGCCACUGUAUUUUGGGUGAGGUGUCAAGUCUUUGGAUACAUUGAUGGAGUCUAUUGAGGUUGAGGCUGUGUGCUGCUGCUGGGGAGGGAAGGCCAGCCCAGGCCAAACCAUUGCCUCUUCUUUCUUUUCUUUUUCUUUAUUCUAACACAAAUUCAAUGAAUCCUUCCCGAAAACCGGAUUGCUCGGUUAUUCCUGGAGGCCUGCCACUUGUGUUCAAUUUGGAUACCUCCCCCCUGCUUGCCCACGUCUUUUACCGGCCACGGGCUGCUUUUUCUUUUUCUUAUGUCAUCCCCUAUUUUGUGCAACCCAUCUCGCUCUGUUUGGCUUUUCCUAUGGAAAUUCAUCCUCACUUAGAAGCCCCUUUUUUUUUCUUUUUGUAGUUAGAACGCCUAAUGUUGAGUGUUUUGUUUGGAUAUCUUUUUGUUUUCAAGAAAGUAUUUUGGUUGUAUCAUAAAUAUAUGUUUUAAAUUAAUUUUUUCCAUCUUUUAAAUUAUCUUUUAUCUCAUAUUUACAUCACAUUUCAAAAAAUAUUAUAAUAUUAUUUUUUAAGAUAUUAACUUCUUAAAUUUUUGACAUUUGUUUCUGCUUAGCUAGACAUGGUUUAUAUGUUAUUAAGAACCAUGUAAUUUGAAUUAAAUCACACUUUUCAUCUAGAAGAUGAUGUAUCAUUUUUCUCCGAAACUUUCUUUUUCAAUUCUCUUAAAUAUGUUACUAUUUCAAAAAAAUAUUAAAUUCCUUUUUUUUUAUUUUAAUAGCUGGUCUUCCUUUCCUAGAAGUUUUCAUUUCAAUACUGCUUUUCACCCUUAAUUAAAAUGAAUUUGAAGCACAAAUUAUGUGAAAAAGGAUACUACAGAUAAAUUUGUGUUACGGAGAGGAUUUAGAUCAACAAAACUGGUGGUCCAAUUCACUCGAAUUUACUUCGCCAGCCUAUUAGGUUGAAUGUAAGUUAAUGCAAUGGAGAAGUUAAACGUGUUACAUUUCAAAGUUGGUAAAAACGUUUAAUUCACUUUCUAGAAGAUGAAGCUCUAACAAAGGAGGUCAAGUUCCUACCAAUUUCAUUUACUUCCCUGAAGAUAAAGCUCAAGUUCCUACCAAGGACCCCAACUAAUCCAAGAAAUGGUAGGGGUGGCAAUUCGGGUCCAAAUCAGGUUGGCGGGUCGGGUUCGGAUCAAUCCGUCAGAAAAUCUGUUAACUCGAACCCGAAAAUUUCAGGUUGGCGGGUCGACCCGAAAUGACCCGAAACUUAAUUUUAAUUUAUUAAUUUAUCACUGUAAUUUCUAAUAAAAUCAAUUUCUCACAAAACUAAUUACAUAAUCAAGUAAUAAAAAUUUAAAUAAAUAAUUCCAAACCAAAUCUAAAAUAAAUUAAACACCGUAAAAGUGUUUUAUCCCAAACAAAAUAUAAAAUAAAUUAAAACAGUAUAAAAGUAAAAAAUAAUAUAAUAUAUUAUUUGUCCAAAUAUAAUAAUUUCAACUUCACUCAAAUUAAAUAAAUUCAUUUAGGAUUAAGUAAUUAAUGCCUUUGAAAAAAAGAAUAACUUAGUUUAGUUAGAUAAAAUUAUUUUUAUGUUUAUUAAAUUAUUUUUAAUUCGUAAACGGGUCAUAUCGGGUCAUAUCAGGUCACCACGGGUUGACCCGAAAUCGACCUGUUUUCUUUUCGGGUUCAUCGGGUCCAACCCGAUUCUGACCCGAAUUCCCGAAACCUCAACCCAAACCCAUUAAUUUCGUGUUAGGUUCGUGUCGUGUUUUUAGGUCGUGUCGAAAAUUGCCACCCCUAAGAAAUGACAUGCUAGUAUUGCCAAUCAUGUUUUGGUGUGGUGUCGUGGUUUUUUUUUUUUUUAAAUAAAUGUAGAAACUAUAUUGAUUCUUCAAAGUGAAAAGAAAAGGAAAAGGGAAGAGAAAGAAAACUGAGAAAAACUUAAUUUCGAUGGUGGAAAAGAAAAAAGAGAGGGGGAGAGAUUCAGCAAACAUUUGAGUAGACCCAUUCUAUACAGAUCAUGUGAUCCAAAUUUUAUCACACCAUCUCAACAAUUCAAUUCUUGAAUUGUUGGUACUACAAAAUUUAGAUCACACGACUUACAAGACUAGGUCUAUUCAAGUUUUUACCAAGAGAAUUAAGACUCCACUUGCGCUGUUGUCAAAGGUGUCACUUACAGAAAGAUUCAACCGCAAUUUUGAUAACAACUCUCAGCCGAAUAAAUGAUGAUAAAAUUGGAAAUUGGGGUUUAUGUUUCAGAUGAGUUAGAAUGCUCCUAAUUCCAUCGAUAGUAAGGUUAUGCACAAUGUCUUCAAAUAAAUCGUAAUGCACGUACUGUCAAUAUAUAUAUAAGAUUAACAUAAUAUUUAUUAUAAGGACGGCAAGAUGCAAUACCUGAUGGAUUUUUCUUUUUCUCAAAUCAGUGGGCUGUGUCCACAACCCACAACCUUACAAGGUAAAACUUUGGGCGUGACAAAGUUAAUUACAGCUACUAUACAACUUGAAAAUCUUAAGCGGUACUAAUAAAUCAGUAACUGGUAACCUAAUCAAUCAUAAUUGACAGGCAAUGGCGCGCUGAAGUUGCAUGCAUUCUUGGAUGAUAAAAUGCCUUCCUAUUUGCAACUUGUAAAGUCAAGUGGUCAGUACACCGCAUUCGUCCCCCCGAAACCAAAAGCGGGUCUGCAACUUGGUCCUUUUAUAACAGCAACUCCUGUGACUAAUAUCAGGCGAUUUUAAAUUCAUUUAACAACCCUUCUUGAUUUGUUUUUAUUAACGUUUAACUUACUCUUCAAUCUUGAGAAUGAAACAAAUCAUUUAUGGCCUGGAAUUGGGUAAGAUUUGCAUCAGACUUUUCUGGGAAUCUGGACUGAAAUUUCAGAGAAAAGCAUGCUGUUUAACCUUCUUUUUUUUUUUUUUCUGUGUAAAAUUAAUUCCAAGUUUGCUAGUCCAAAGAAACAAAAGAAAUAUGUUUUCGUUUUAUGCCGGGAAAAGUUUUGCAGCUUGGUAACUCAAUGAUUUAUUAGCGUCUGGUGCCAAUAAACAUGUCUCUUUUCCAGGAAGAAGAGGGGGAAAAAAAUUAACAUUCAUAGAAGAAAUUAGGGUUUGUUUGAAAAAUUGUUACAUUUUUCGUGGACCUAUUUUUCGAUCAUCCUUUUAUCUCAUAUAUAUCAAAUCGCUACAGUAUUUUUUCUAUAAAAAAUUCAGAAAAAUACAAUCCAAACAAAAAUUGUCGAAUCAUAUGAGUUGAGUUGGUCAAGAGUCGAGACAUUUGCCUGAAAAUUAGACGUACACGUUCAAAUGUGAAACACCACUUGAGUAAAAGUCCAAGCAAAGUUAAAACCCGGAUCAAGAUGGCAUGAAUUAAUUAAAUUGUAUAUGACUAGGUAGUGGGGUGAGAAGAGGUCUCGACUAGUUUCACGUUGAACAUAUAGGCUUCUCCGAGAUUAUUAUUAUUAGUCAUGUAAACCAAAAUAAUAAAAUACCAUAUUGUCGGCCAGAAGAGAAGAGAAGAGAAUUAUUAGUCAGUGGAGUAGUUAUCAGAAGAGCUAUCGUACAUAUGUCUGGUUCGAGGGAAUAGAACAGUAAAACCAGAGCUAAAUAAUUCUCACUUUUUUUUUGCAGCAGCAGCAGAGAAGUCAUCCAUCCAUAAAAGUCGUCUCAGUUAAAUGAAAUGAACCAAGUUUGAUUUGUUGACUUAAGAAAACCAAACAGCAGCCAAAAUCCCUCCAUUUUCUCGAGGUGUGUGUACUAUAUAGGCGACUACCUGCGCAAGAAAGAAAGAAAUUUGUGUUGGUUUGAAGUGAGACAAAACUACAAAAAGUUGGUUUAGCUAGCGGUAGUACGAAAGAAACGAACAACUGUCCCACAUCACAUAGGAAGUUUCGGUGGUGUGUGUUUUUGUGUGGUACAAUGAACUUGGUGAUGAUGAAUCAAAUUGCCAAUUUGCUUAUCACCUUUUUUUGAGAGAGGAGGAAAAGAAAUAAUUGGUGGGGUGUCAAAAAACAAAAAGUUCACACUGCAAAUCUGCAUGGCCGAAAAUAACGAAAGAAAAGGGGGCAGCAACUAACCCUGCCAUAAGAGGGUCAUAAUAUGUUCAAUGUACCAGGCUGGGUUGGGACUUGGGAGGGUAAGAAAAAAGGCAAAAAGUUUAACGUUUUGUGGGCUGCUGUUUCUGUCUGUUCCUGUUUCAGACAGCCGGUCUCUACACGCGUACCUGAUCCUGAUUUUGGUAUCAUGUAUGUAUGUAUGUGCCUAUGAUAUGUUUUGAUUGAGACAUUUUCACAUUCUCUUACUUUUCUUCCCUUUGAAUUCUUCAAUUUCUUCUACGCUUUAUAGUUGGAAAUUUUGUGCCCUAGUAGUUGUUCAUUUUUCCGGACAAAAUUGUACCUCUCAAAGAACCACACUGUAAUUUUACCUCUUUGUCCUUGGUAACUCUUAGUGAUUAGUACGGAUCUUUUGGGCUAAUUAAUUGUUAGCAGCAUUUUUUCUCCGGAGCAUUUAUUCUGGCAACAAUAAUGAGUACAACCCACCAACUCACUACCAAAUAGUAAUUGAGAAGUUCAUAAAGAAACCGAUAAUUACACAUCCAAAUUCUACCUUAGCUAUUAUACUAUUUGAAGAAUAUAAUAUAUUCUCAAAUCUUAAUCCACACUUUUGAUGCAUUGAUCAACUUCAUCGUCAUCAUCAUUAGUAUUGAAACUCCUACAAUGUAUUAACCCAGUUUUCAAGUUAUCCAUUUGGUGGUGAAUUCAGCUUUGUUUGGAUAUCAAAUUUUUUCAAAUAAUAUUUCGCUUGUAUCGUAAACACAUUUUUCAACUUAUCUUUUAUAGAUUUUUGACUGUCUGUUUAUCUCACAUUUUGUAUUACAUCACAAAAACUGUUACAGUAAUAAAUUAUUUCAAAUAAUACUCUGUCUCUAAUAAACCCACUACUAUUUUCCUCCUCAUCAACGCAGCAAAAUUUAAAGCUAACUAUAAUCAGCGUUUCAAAAUCAGAAAACGAGGGACAAAAAGGCUGUUCUACACUUGCUACAUAUAUGGUCAGCAACAAACAAAUGCAUUGGAGCACACGGAAGAAGGUGUGGUCGGGUGGAUCAAUUUGGUCCACGCAAUUUGUGUUGAUUAAAAGAUGAGGGUCGAAUGAUUAGUGUAAAAGACUCAUAUAAUUAGUUAAAAGGACAGUAAUUUGCAGCUCGUAAGGUGUUGCACGUGUCAGAAUGUACGUCCAGAGAAGUAACAAUAAAUAUCGUACGUCCAGAGAAAAUGAAAGUCGCCGCGUCAAGGCCAAUCAAUCAAAACUCAAAACCCAACUUGCAGCGGUAGUCUGCAUUUCAUGCAAUUAAUGUGACAGUUUAUAAGGGAUUCAUGAAUUGCUCCUUAAUUUGGUUGGUCACCAAGCGAGCAGAAACAGUCGGAGAAUUUGACAUCCAUCUUUUUGAGAUGUUAGCUGAACUCGUCCGCCGUCCUUGGACCUUGGUUUUGGAUGUCCCAUCCCUCUCGUUCAUGAACUUGAUUCCUCUCCAUGUUGGACUUGGACCCCAUGCAUCGUUUUCAUUCAAUUUCCUUGCAGAUGAUUAAUCAGUAGUGAGUCUUUCAGUCUUAAUUUUCAUCCAGCGGCCCUGAGAUUUGAGCUCUCUUUCCAUACAAAUAUAUUCAAAAGGGUGAGAACAUGGACACAAAAUUCGUCAUCGUCAUGCUGUACAUCGUCUCUGCCAUGCAAAUUCUGGAGCACUUUGUCAAACUUUGGAAAGUUCUGCUCAGUCGCCCAAAUCAACGUGCAAUUAACUUUUUUCGAAUGCGGAAAGACAGUUAAAAAUAUUACAUAUAAUAUACUAAUGUGGUUGAAAAUGUAUAAAUCCAAAAAUCUUGUAGGAUUCUACUUACGAUCAUGAAAGCAUGAAACUGUGUAUUGAUCCUAGCUUUUGGCUUAUUUUACAAAUGUAUAUAAGAAGAAAGAAGGAAUGGUAAUCCCAUUUGCUCAAAUUUGUGCAUUGGCCACCAAGUGGUACGUUUUAAGGUGCGAUAUAUAUUUGGCAAAACGUCUAUGUACAUAUAUAUAUAUAUAUAUAUAUAUAUGAAAUCGGUUCAUUUAAUCAAUCGCUUUCUUUUUCUUAGCUGCCAUGUUUAGUUAAAGAGAGUUAAUGGAUUAAUAGAUAUUUGGAUUUUAUUUAAUUUGGUAUUUAACUCUUUUUUAAACUAAUUUUACUUAUUAUGAUUUCUAUCUCUUCUAAUAACUUUUAUCUCGUUCAAUAAAAAUGAAUUACUUUGCUAGUCCACACGCGUGAUUUUUAAAUUGUUACAUCAUUAAAUUUAUUGACUUCGCUGAAAACUGAAAAUUUGCUCAUGAGAGAAUCAAUUGCUACACCUUUUUUUUUUUGGUGUUUAACUAAAAGCAAAUACGUAAUUAGAGGUGUAUAAUCAUUUUAAAAGUAUAAUAAUCAUCUCGAGGCAAAUUUUUCAUUUCCUUUUUUCUAUACAUUGCAGUUUAUUGAUAAAUAUUAUCAUGUUAUCAUAUUAAGAUUUUAAGAAUACAAUUUUCAUUAUCUGACAAAAAAUUAUUUACUUGCAUUACAAACACAAUUUUCAACACACUUUUUUAUCUUUCCAAUUAUCUUUUUAUCUUACAUCACAAAAAAUACAACAGUAAUUAUUCCAAAUAAUCUCCUAUCCAUACACUCCAUGAUAAAUAUCUCAGAAUAAACAUGUAAAAAUAUCGUUGAUAUCUCUUUCUUGAAAUAUUAUCCCUUGGUUCAUAACAAAUCAAAAUAAAAGUAUCCGGAAAAACUAGUAUAAAUUAAACUGACUGUACAUGGCAAAAUAUUUUGGCAAUCUCAAAAUCUUGUUCAGGGCAUCGCAAACUCUCCAUAGUUUAAGUCCGUUUGGCAAAGCAGUCUGCCCCUCCAAGUCUUAUCAAUCCGAAGCCGUAACAAGCGGGGGCGCCUUCCUGCAACAAGGCUGCAAAUCUUUAGCUUCACCUUAAAGAAAAGAACAAUUGUUUUCGUAUGAGAAAAUGUGACGUAAAACGUGUUUAUCCAUUGAAUUUUCUCGCUGUGGAAUAUGGUGUGUGCAUUGAAUGUAAGCUCUGCAGGGCAUGACAUGUAGCCUUACAGGUCCUUCUCAAGAAAUGGGCAGAUAUUUUUUUUUUUUCCAAAAAAAAAAAGUACUGACAAAGGAUGAUUAGGAAGGUAGGUAUGAAGAAGAAGGACCGGAAGGGCUAGGAUGGUUCAGAUUCAGUGGAACCGUAGCAGCUCUGCGAAAUGUUAAUAAAUCUUAUCACUUACCAGUUCCCACUUGUGUUGUAGUAAAUCUUAAAAAAUAUAACCAUGGUCCCAUUGGCAUUAUGCACAAAGAGGGCCAAUUCAAGGAAUCUAAUAAGUUGAUCGAGAUGGAUAUUCAAAAAAAGAUGAACCGCGUGUUUGGUUUAAACCACACCAACUUGGACUCUUUUGCUAAAUGGGAUCUUGAAAAUUAAUUAGUUUUUCAAAUUUGAGUUAGACCAAAGCUCGAAGCAAGUAACCUUUUGCUAUACGUCGUAAAUACCAGUACCUUUAUGUUCAACUGCAUGUAUAAAUUGUCCACCUGAUGACCGGUGUACAGGCAAUUUUUUCCGGCAAGGGAACCAAUUUGCUCCUCCGCAUUAAACUUGAUUGAUUGACUACAAGAAUCUAGGACCAAUAUUGUUAGUAUAGGAUGCGUAGCAGCAAUGCAUGGGAAGCAACCCCCAUUCCUUUGAUUUUUCUAAAAAAAAAAAAAUUUGUUUUUCUGCCCAGGUCUCCUCACUGAACGCAGCUAACAAGUAAGGAGGCGGACUACCCCCCCAGCUUCCAAGUUUGAGGAGUAUUUUCUAAAACGUUUUCAUGUAUUUCUGGUCAGUACGCCGUUUUAUGAUUCUUGUGAUAGAUUGCAGCAGCAGCUAGCGGCAUUGAUGGCAAGAUUAAAUUGUUAAGUACGUGCAAUCGUAUUGGAUGUGUCGAACUGCAGCAUUGGCCUUUUUUUUUUUUUUUUUCUUUUUGGGGUUUUGAUUUCAUCUUAAUCUGAUCAACACUACAGGAAAUGCCCCUAUCUAUCAGUUUCUAUCAACUAAUUCGAUUCUUUGGGUAGGGUUACUUUCAGUUUGGUUUAAUUCAGCUGCAGGUCUUUAAAAUAGAAAACAAAAAUUAUUAAUUAUUACACGCAGCCAGCCCCAUAUGAGUCCAUGACACCUUAAAAAAAAAAAUGAAAGCUCUUCACAGACUCCAUGAACAAGGCAAAUAUAUGUAGCUGUCAAGUCAAGAGUGUUGAUCUCGAUGUCAGAAAUGGUGCAUGGAUUUGGAGAUGGAUGCUUUUGCUUGCUUAACCCAAAAGCAAAAGCGAUAGGAAUUCCUGCACUUGCAGGUUUCAAUUCCAUUAAAUCCACGUUGUGUUCAAAACCAUAUAUGCUUGCAUGCAUCAAACUUUUUUUUUUGAUCUUUUAGAAAAUUUUGUGUACAUCAUAAAGUAAUUGUUGAGUGAUCGCUAUCUAAUCGAAUAUAAUCUGCUGUGAAGAUGUGAUGGGAUCCUAACUUAACACAAAUUGAAAAAGAAUAAUAUCCGUAUGACUCUGGAUGAUUUCACAGGCACGCAACUGAGCAUUAAUAAAACUAAGAAGAGGUUCCAAUGGCGUAGUGAAAGAAGAGAAAAAUAAAUGGCAGAAAACAAAAUUAGCUUUGCAAAAAUACACUACUAUAUAUAUAUGUGCAAAUAUAAAAGGAUUAUCUUAGAUAAUGAGGGAGCGGAGGGGCUUUCAACGAAUGUACAUGGCAAAAGACAAUUGCUGAAGACACGGGAAUUCGUUAAAUUGGUCAAAUGGGUUUUGUUGAAUUUAGGAAUUGGAAUUGAGAAAGACCAGAUUCAAUGUAGUCUUCAUUGAUAAAGAUCAACUUGUUUAAAAAACUCCUUCACUUGUCCUGGCGUGGGUUGGAUGGUAUAAAGACAAUACAAUAGGUUUGCUUGCUCUAUUUUAUUUAUGGUACUACUAUUCUGCCCCAUUAGUUGCUUAUGGUACGGCACCUGCAAUCUAGAUUCUUGGGGGUUGGGCAGGCCGAAUUUGGAAAAUUCCUUUUUUGUCUUGGUGUUUGUUGAUGUUGGGGGGUGGUGCCUUUCCAGAAUCCAGCCCAGCUUCAUGGUUUGAAUCCCGUCAGGCAACUCAACUUUUAACGAAGAAAUCAGAAUUAAAUUACUAACGCUUAACCGGGCAAGUCAACUUGAGAAAACGAGAUUGGGCAUACAUCAAUUUCCCAGUAGUGAGGGAACGCAGUUCUUGAUGAAAAAGCCCCAACCUCUGGAUGGUUUUUAACCUUCCCGAGCGGUAAUGGUAUUCCAGCAGUUUAGCAAAAUUCUCAGAGAGGCUGUCGAAGUCUCGCCAUGGUUGUAUACAAAUCUUUGGCGAGUAUGAACUCAAAAACGUCUAGUGGUUGAAUUUGUGAACCAAUGAGCAAAUACCAUUCACGUUACGCAUUUGUUGAUUCACAAAAGUGAGAAAGGAAGGUCCACUUGCACAAGUUUCAUUUUUCACUCUUUGGGCCUACCCUAAAUAAUAAAUAACUAAAAUAGAAAGGAAAAAGGCAGUGCUAAAUUCAUAGUACCCAAAAAACAUGAAGAAGCUUAGACGUAAGAUGCUGCUUUCUGUUCUUGGUUCUAACCACCACUUGCAUAAGAAUGCAGAGAGGAAAAGAGAGUUUGAGACCAUCACCUCAGGACCACAGUUCAGGAGUGUAAUCAAUCAUCCAGCUUAAAUGAUUAACAAACCAUCACCAUUUAGCCCAGACAACAAUAUGCCAAAUCUCACUCGCCUGAUCUUUAUUCAUCCUUUUAGGAGCACUUCAAUGAUAUUUAACACGCUCUAAUAAUCAAUAGUUGUGGAUACAUAAUCGGAGCUUAAGAAAAAGAAAGAGAUAAAAGUUGCGAGCAUUAAUCAUAGAGCCAGAUGAACCAAAAGAGAGAGAGAGAGAGAGCAUAAUAAACAUAUAAAUCAGUCAGAUGUAACAGGCAGUAUUAGCAUUAUAUUUACAAGAUCUCAAAAUGCAUCCUGUAGAAAUACACAGUUAACUGGUGAUUUUGUAUCUAUAAAGGUAGUAUACAAGGAGAAGCAUAUAUAUAUUUUGAAUAGAUCUAGAACUACUCAGCCAAAUUAAAAAAGCCCAUAAAAAUUCUCAGUUCCAAUGUCACUCUUCCUCUUCUUCUUGCCUUCUCUCUCUCUUUUCCUCCCCUUAGGGAAACUAUACACCAAAUGUAAUGAAACAAAGAAAACAGCGAAUUCUCAUUUACUGAAAUAAACUAGGUGCACUUCCAUCAUGGCUCUUUAGUCAUAUAAACCUUCUUGCUCCCAAAUAUCCCCGAGAAAAUCAACCAUUUCCUGUCAGUCAAAGAUACUGGCCGGUCAGAUACGAGCCCUGCUAGACUGAACUCUAAUGAAUCACCGUAAUUAUAGUAGAACCAAGAAAGUGCAAAGACAGCCCCCCAAAAAAAAAAAAAAAUUGCAAGAAACUUACUGAGAGAGGAAUUGGCUGAGGAAAACGCUUGUUAGUCCCCAGCAAGCUUUCGUAACUUGCAUUCCAACUGCAACAAGAGCAAUGAAUGAGGCUAAGGGUGUAGGGACAGUAUUUACGUAUCAAAACGAGAGGAUAGAAAGCUAAGAAGAACUGAAUCAUAGGAAUAAAAUCAAUUCUGACACAUUUGAAUAUCAUAUAUGUUGGAGCUUAGCAAAGCCUGAAAUUAUACUUUCUAUAAACCUAGUAAACAUGAAUUACAUUCGUCCUGAUUAUACUCUAAACAACAUAAUACAACUAAAGCUAUGUCACAAGGCCACAACAUGAUUGCAGAAUUUAAAAUUCCACCACGAAACAAGAAUAAGAGUGAGUGGACACCUUAAGAUGGGUUCCUCAACUUGUUUUUGUGUCUCUGACUUUUUACUUCCAAUCCACUGAAGCCUUGCCUGGUUCCAACGAAGAUAGCCUACGCUUGGGAAAAUAAGAAAAUUAGAAAGUUGCGUCAUAAAUGAUUUAACUGAACUGAGAAGAAUGUGUCAUAAAUGAUUUAACUCAAUCAAGAUUCUUCUGCAGCAUGCUUGAAGCUACUUCCUCAUUAGGAACAAAGACGCAUAAGAGAAAUACGAAAGGAAGAAGAGGGGAAAAUGACCCGAGACCCCUUCCAUUUCAUACUGUCAUCAUGCAUUGACCAAAAAACUAUUGCUUCAUUCACAGCAGAAUAGAAACUAAAUCAUUAACACAUAAAGGACGAACUUUGCUACUGAAAGCUCAACCAACAGUACAGAGGAGAUUGUAAAGUAUACUUGCCAUGAUUGACAAAUUCUGAGUGGUUAAUACUGUUGCCAGUGCCACCUUGUUGACUGAGGCUCUGAUUUGAUAUACUGAUGGAUGACAUACUUCUCUGAGAUUGAACCAUACUGUUCUCCAGGUCACAUGUGCUGGUGCUCCAGAAAUCUUCAGAUAUGCUGGGUUUCUUAACUAGCCGACCUUGAAUUCUCAAUCCCUUUGAUGGCUCAUCCACAGCAAUGAUCGGCUGAGAUUUGGUGCAGCAACCAAAACAACCUCUGUUCUGUUACAAUUCAGGUUCAUUAACAUAUACAAUACAUGCCAGAAGCAAGAUAUUCACUUUUUGUGUCCCACAACCAGAACUGAGUUUGUUGUUUACUGUUCACUAUUGCAGUAGCAUGAGCAUUUGCCAUGAUUUGUGUUUUGGGAAAAAAAAAGAUCUGCUUCCGAAGUAAGAUUAUGAUUUCUCUAUGUUGCAGAAGGAUUAGCAAACAUUCACACAAUUACAAAACCUUUUUUUGUUUUCAAUAUUUGUGUAGUUUAUAGUUUACUGUUCACUAAUGCAGUAGCUUAAAAAUUUGCCAUGCUGUGUGGCGAAACCAAAAAAAAAAAAAAAGUAUCUGCUUCCGAAGUAAGAUCAUGAUUUCUAUUAGUUGCAGCAUUCACACACACCAAAAAAAAAAUUUGUUGUCAAUAUCUUUCCUAAUCCAGGUGAUGAGCAGGAAGUUUUCAGCCAUAGGUGUACAACAAACGGAACUCAAGAUCAGUUAAUAUUAAGAAAUUGACAAUUUUGGAGAUCAAGACCACUACAAGACAUCAAUUCCUAGCACUCAAACAUAAGACAGCUUUUGAGCAAUAGCAAUGAAGUUUACCAAACGUGUGCUAAGCAUACAGACAUAUGUAUAAACAGAACGCCACAUAACAGUUAAGCAGAAAACAUGAAAACAUGCAUAACCUUUUGGCCUGGCGUAAUGGAAAGAGAACAAAGAAGAAACUAGAAACAAAUUUAUCGGCUAAUUAAUGGGCUAAGAAGUCCUGAAAUUAAGAUACUUAAAAGACAGCAUAUUCCCUCCUCCCUUUUAUCCUUUCCAAUUUCUUUCAACUUCUUUGCUUCAUGAUUCCAAUGAGCAGGAGAUCUGUGUUUGGCUCUCUUUUCAGAUUAGGCCUAAGCACCACAUUCAAUUUUUCUCUACAGAAAAUUCCUUAUGACUCUUGUUCACUCAGAGUUCUUUCUUCAACGCUUCUUUCCUUCGCCUCAUAGCUAAUCAGCACCUAGCACCUACUACCAGGAAAAAGAAUCCAUGGUUUUAACUGCAAGGACUGGUAUAACUUAUCCUAAACAAAAUGCCAAUUAAAAGAUUCAAGCUCCACGCACAAAAUCUUUUCUUGCUUAAUGCACUAUCAGAAGAAGAGUACGGUUUAUAAGAUCAUUGAGGUAAUCAUGAAUUACCUGAGAAGAAUGUUACUCUUCAAACUUAGACCUACAGGUUUCAGGUCCUUACCUCCAGUAACUUGUGACUUUCCACAGUAACAUAAGCAAAGAGGAAAUGAAGAAAGAGAGAAAUGGGAGGAGACAAGAAGGUCUGCGAUGUCCAGGACCAAGCUAGAGUAAUCAACCACAUACCAGCACACUAGCAUGUUUAACAUUCAAUCCUUCUGUAUCGCAGCCACCAGAUGUGACUUCAAUACUUUCCAAGCAGAAGACAACAACAGGCUACUGCAUACUUUGGACAGGGAGGUUUCAAGGACACCAGACCAGAAAACUAUAAUCACCAGUUCGAUAUUUUUAAGAAGACACUAAAUUAACCUCCUAGCAAGGUACAAAUAUAUCUACCCUCCUAUUUAUCUUAUUUACUACAUUGGAAGAAUUUUUUCACCACAAAAUGGUAAAUGUUGUUUACUCCAACUACAUGUCCUGUAAUCAUUACUCCAAGCCAGCAGAAAGCAAUUUGCAGCACCUGUAUUUGUCAGGAUAUCGCUCCAAUCACAAUUAUAGAUAAGAAGGAUAUUGGAGUAUUGGGCUGGCUGUUUUCAAUCAAAAUGGUGCUUUAGCAUUUAUAAUAAACAAAGACACUGUUUUAACAGUAUGGACACAGAAAAUGGAGCAAUACUGCUGUUUAGAGGAAGACAUAGAAAAGCAUACCCCCAGUCAUAAUAUUUCAAGUAUUUACUAAACAUAUUCUGCAACUACAAGUAUGAAUUGUAAAGAGAAAGCACAAUCAGUAUUUAGACUUGCAUUCUCUAAUAUAAAUCUACAGUUUUAAAGGCAUUAACAUGUUUUGAAGGAAAAUAACACUCUCAUACAACCAGAAGCGCAUACAAUUGUACACACACCAUCUCAACCGUAAUAGUUGUUGUGUUAUGAUCAUUUGAAUAGUGUCUGAGUCAUGGAAAAAGAAACAAAUUCUAACAUUUAAGUGCAUAAUUCACGGUCUCAAACAUUAAGUCAAACGCUGUCUCAGUCUAAUCCUUCGCAUAUGCCUAUUGCAUACAUCCAGGAAGUCAUAAUAGUAUGUAACGAAAAGCUCAGCCAAGCUUCACACACACCAUAUAGUAUAUAAACAAGUCUGGUUUAUCUUACAUCUCCUUUUUCAGCAUUUUUCACUUUCUCAACUAAUAAUAGAUCAUGUUUUUACCAGAUGAUUAGUUUCAACUCUUUCAUUUCAAAAGAAUCAUGAAUGUGCAAGUAGCAGCCUGGAAAAGUCUAGUUUCUCUAUCUUUCCAUCUUAAGUACUAAAAAGAGAGAAAAAAAAAAAAAAAGCAGAAAAAUUGCAACCACAAUAACCAGACAAUACAAAAGUCCGUACACCACCACAAAAGAGACAAAAUAGAAGAACUUUUUAUCUGGCAGACAGUUUUAGAGUUUUACACAAUCCAGUUGCCGCUUUUGACACUACGACAACGGAAGAUAACGAGCAAAAGGUAAAGAAUAGAAAAAACAAAUUAAAUACGACUGUGUUGUCCAAAUUUGGUAAACAAGAACAGCCCAUCCCACUCUUAAGUCUCUAGAAUCAAAACAUCUAAUUAUAACCACAAAAAGAGCCAGCCCGAGCUUUCCAGUAUAAUUCUUUAGUUCUCCAUGCUUCUAAACCAAACAAAAAAAUAGAAGCCCCUCGAAACAGAUAACAGAACUUCAACAGUCAAUACAACGGAGAGAACAGUAAUAGGAAGAGACAGGAGCAAAUGAUAAGAACCAGAAUAACUUACCCCAUGCAAGCAAGAAAGCUGCUGAUCCAAUCAGUGAAAGAAGUGUACAGCAUCAUAUACCUAAACAUGAAGCGGCAUCAAAUUAUCAAAACCCAAUCUGUAUUUCCAAACGGCCCAGAUCAACCAAACCCAACAUCAAGCUCCAAUCAUAAAUCCAGCCCUGCAAACAUAUUUGAAGAAAAGUUAAAAAGGGUCGAUAGUUUCUAUGGAAUUUUCACUGUCAAACAAGCAGAUAUUUUAGGAUGGCUACUUAUGUAUGCAUAAUACUCCAUAAAUACCUGCAACAGCACUAGGAAAUACUACUCCCAUUACCAUAUGCCGCCAGUUGAUCAACAAACUGCUGGCUACAAUCACACCUAAAUCCUAAUUUGUGAAAUUGGGCGGGGGCGGAUUGUGAGGAGCGGGACUGUUUGUUUGCUGGGGUGAAUCAAUCGAAAGUCGAAAGUAAGCGGUGGUUAAGUUAAGUGGGUAAUUUACGAGAGGGUUAAGUGGGGCCCGCUCGUUGUUAAACCUUAUCUACUUUCUAACUUUCACUAAAUCCAGCUAGGAUUAUAGUGGUUAAUUAACUUAAUUUCAAUGCCCCAGGACACGCGCUUCUUCCUUUCCCACGUGCGAUUCCCCUCUUUUUCUUUUUCUGAGGACCCCAAAAAAAAAAAAAAAUCUCCCUUAGUAAUUGACCUUCUAUUGUACGAACAGCUGCUGGCCAUUAAAAUUAUUGAGUUGGACUUGAAAAUAAAUUCCUUCAACCUCGAAAUAAGCAUCUGAUAUCAUAAAGUGAAAUUGUUUUUUUUUUUUUUUCAGAGUGAGUUUAACAGAGCAGCUCAAUUCAAGGACUGAUAAUGCAAAUUUUCAAGCCAUACACAGUACUUUCCACGAUCUUAGGAUACCAUCUCAUCUGAGUGAAUAUAUAUAUAGAUAUUGGUUGUUUGCUGAGGCCCUAUUCCUGUCUUUCCUUAUCAUCCUGCAGUACCAUUCAGCUUUUCCCAUUUGGGGCAAAAAAGUGUCGGUUGAUACUCACUUGAGAAACUAUAUAGUUAGGAUAGCUACAACAUUAUUAUUGUCUCUGGACAACUCGCUAAUUUGGUACACAAAUCUGCGCAUGAUUUUAGUUCACAAAUGACACUACUAAUACAUCCUUUUCUUUUGUCAAUCAAUUGACAUCUGCCUUUGCACUAAAGCUUCCGCCAACCCAGUAGUGUAAUUUGUGUGCGAAAUGAUUGCUAGAUGAAUAGGAUGGGUUAAAGUUAGGUCCCUGAAUCCAUGGCCAAUCAUUCAACGAACCGGUUCAAAUCAAUUAUUAGAGCCGGCUAUUGAUUAAUCUUUUCAAGAAAAAAAAAAAACUAUUGAUUAAUUAUUGUUGAAUGAGAAACACAUAAAUUCUUGGGCCCACGUACGUCAAUCACCGUACGUACUUAGGAAUUCAAGUGGCGUAGUCCUGCAGGGAACAUUCCAAGGAUUGAAUCCUAAUUUUCCCUCCCUUGUCAGACCGUCACCUUCAAUAAUUUUCUUCAACGAAAUCCCGCUGGUUAGGCUCCCCUCCAUUUAAACUAGUUUAGAAUAAAUUAUACAAAUAUUAUCGCUGUUAAAAAAAAAAAAAAAUCCUAUACAGGUCCAAAUCUCUCACGACUGGCAGUAGAAACGCACCGGUCCAGUGGAUCGGGCCACACAUUACUGUUGGGCCCUUCUCAAAGAGCCCCAAACUUCAGGUCAGCAGUGCUACAAGCUGAAUGAGGCCCAAGGGCUGCAGGGGCCCAAUAGAGCACUUGUCGCUUGCUAAACCCCGAGUGCAUCUACUAGUCCCUUACAAAAUCCCUGUAACAUGAUCUAUUUUAAACGAACCUGCAAAAUCCUUUGUCCAUUCUGCUCGUUUUAUUCUUUCAGCCAUGGGUUCUGCUCGUAGUUUAAGUUUCGGGAAGACAAAUCACAGAUGACAUAAUUUUGAUGGGCUAAUAACAUUAUCUAUUACCAAAACAGUUUAGCAAGCUGCGCUGCAAGAGCAACAAAAUUCGAACAUAUACUCCCAUGCGUUGGAAAGUUGAAAUUCUCCAGCCAAAUCUUCUACUGCUUAGUGGCACGAUUUAGCAAAAUUGAAGCCAGACCAACUCUCCACCAAGGUGUCACAGAGGGCUCAGUCUUCUUGGAUAUAAGAGAAGGCAGACCAGUGUGAACGCUGCUACCAAGUGUACCCUCCGGCUUGCUACUUGUCACAGAAGAACUACUGAAGAUAUGCACAAAAAGAAAGAAUCAAAAGGCUGGCCACGAACUGUAUCACCAGAAUAUGUAAUAUGCGUAGUGCUAGAGGUGGUUGCUAAAUACAAAACACAAGAGUAGGCAUACAAUAACUAGUUUUCUCUUAAAAGGGAACACUCAAAAUUGUUAAAAUUUUCCCAGCUUCAAUAGAGCGCAAUGGUUUAGUGCCGCAAGUUCACUUAUGAGUUAUGACUAAGGACCCGAAACACAAUCCUGCUAGAUAUACGUUCCAUAGCUGACAAUGCUGCUGUUGUUUCGACGUUUUCAGAAGCGUCAUGAUGUAAACGUUCAAUUGCAUAGCACAACUUGGUCCUUAAUUUAGAUAACAAAAUAAGGUGCCCACAUUAUCAUGCUUUCUUGCUUUAAGAAAGUCAGAGAAGCCUUGUGGUCUAACCAAGUUAUACUACUUUUCUGAUGUGUAAAAUGAUCAUAAUCUAUAGUUCACGUUAAUCCAGAAUAGCAGCGACAUUGUAAAUUAACCAGAAUAAAAGACAAAUUUACAUGACUCACCUCCAAGUGAACAAACCUGAACACAGCAACUUAAAAUCCCAUCUCUAUCACAAACUUAUGCUCAAGUCUCCAUUACAAAUUUGUUGUGCCUUACAUUAGUAAUUUAUAUAGGUUUUCUGAUAUGUAAGCAGGUGGUCUGUUUAUUUUACAAGAAUGCAGUCGUCAUCCCUGAGGUAGUCUGCCUACUCUAAUGCUUGGCAGAAAAUAAGCAUGCAUAAAAUAACUAAGCAUGAAAAAACUGAAAUUAUGCACAAGAAAAAAAGAGCUCAUUUGAGAGUGCAUACAUCAGGGGUGUUGGACCUUCAUAUGCAAACGUGGAAAUGCCCUGUCGUUGCUUGUGCUUGGGAUUAACUGAGCACAGCACAUACACUCGACCACGUCGUUUAACGGUUCGACAGAACUCACACAUUUUCUUAACUGAUGACCUAACCUUCAUAUCUGCUGACAAUAUAUCAAUCAGGGAAAAUCAUGAGCUUACAUAAUCUACAGACAAGUACAACAAAGUUUCUUAUAGAUAAAAUGCUACCACUGGCGAAGCAUGCAACAAUAAAACUUCAUAAGAGCAGUUUGAUACCUAGCUAACAGCAUACAACCAUUCAAGAUAGUGAAACGCUGAAAGGAGAAAUGACAAUAUUACAGAUGCAUAAUCAACUGAUCAAUAAGGCAGUUGCAGCACAGAUUACGUUAUUAAUCAUAUUUAUCUUCACUUCAUUCACAUUCCAGACAUAAGAAUAUAAAGCGCCCUCAAACCCAAGAAACCAUUUACAACUACUAUAAUGGAUCCUUUAUGACCUCCAACAUAGGAACAAAACUUUGAUUUAAUUUCAUAUACAUAGUCAGCAAUUCUUUAGGAAAUUUCAAGUUUCAUAAUCUGUUCUUUGAGAAACUAGAGUUCUUUAGCUUCUCAGUCAUCUAUCACAUCUCAAAAUAACCAUUUCGGUCAGCAAUAAUCCCUCAGCCUGAAAUCCAAUUGAACAUGUAUUGGAGAUUGGUUUCUUUAGUUAAAGCGCACAAGUCUGGACAUGUUGUCAAGCUUCUUUCCUGCUAUUUCAAGCAAUCUAGCCUCAAGUACAAUCCAGUAAAUAAAGCAGAAAAGUUGAAGAACAAAGAUCCUCAUAUGUCAUACGUACUAAAGAAACAACGUGUGACAAGUAAAUGAGAAUGCGCGUUUUUUUUUAACCAUCAAUGGAAUUCGUAUACUUUUAAACUUUCCACUUUAAACUAAAAACUAAUAAUCCUGCAUCAAAACACAUGGUCUACCUCACAGCAGAACUAGACAUGCAAGGACCUUUAUACAUGACGCAUAAAUCUGAACUGAGCCAUCUAUAUAGUAUCAACAUUUCAUAAGCCCACAAGAUCAUCUAUUAAGUACCUUAGCCAUGAAGCUAAAUCCCAAAGAAAACUGGAGCUGAAAACAUUUUCAGGAUUGCCCAAUAAUAAAAAGGAAAUGAUGCAAAAUACCCAGAGAAGAAGGAAAAAUGCCCGUUACUUUCUUUUUUUUUUAUUGUUUUUCAGCAACAACAUAUUGCCAUAGCUGAAUCUAUAGUUUUUACCAGUCUUUCUAAAGCUAUUAAAACAGAAGGGUUGCAUUGAAAACCAACUUGAAUCUUGAAGGGGGGAAAAAAAGAAAAAGAAAAUUCAUUUCCUAAGAGCAGCCAAAGUUUACUACUUAACUUUCUCGUAAACCAAAACCCUUCAACUGGAAAGAAGCAAUUAACAACCUUGGUAUGUGUAUGGAUAAGAAAUCAAAAAUUCAAAAACCGACUAGACAACGAUUUGGGGGAGUGAAUAAACUCGUAAAAAACACUAAAUUAAAUCCAGGGUUUUCGGCGUUAAUAAAAGAUUGUGCAGAAAAAUUGAUCAAAUAAGAAGUUACCUGAAUGAUAAAAGGGAUGUUUAUUGUGAUUUUUUGCUUCGCCGAUUGCAGAAACUGAAAAUGGAGGGCGAGGCUGCGGCACUGCCGAGCUAAAAAAUAAUAAAAUAUUAGUGGUCAAAUUUAGGCUGGUUUCAACGCUGGCCCAUAGAGAGCGGGCUUAAGAAGUGGCUUCUAAACCCAAAUUGGAAAUGCAAAUGAUUUUGUCUGUUUGUUGAGUUGGGCUGGUGCCCAAUGUUAUAAAAUUUUCGUAACUUUUCCAUGUGGGAGUUAAGUACAAAAUUAAAAGAUGAGAUUGGGGGCCAUCAUAUUUUGGAAAUUUUUAUGAUUCAUUUAGGACAUCAUUCAUUCAUUUUGGAAAUAGUUUAUAUUUUAAAAUAUUGAAAUUGUCAUCAUCUAUGAGUCAAAACAUUUAUUUCAACAUUUAAAUAUAAAUUUAAUUUAGAAUAUGAUACUCAAAAAAUUUAUUAUUAGAACCACAAAAUUUAUAGCAGACAAAAUAUUGCCAAAUUAAUAUUUGAGAUUUCACAAUAAUUACAGCGAAGCAUCGCUUGGGAUUUCAGAACAAUUACAGUAAAGAAUAAAAAUCCCAAGCAAGAUUGAGAUAUUUAAACCCGCACUAAAAUGUAAAUGAGUAAAUCUCAUAUAUACUGACAGUGUAUACACAUACUAUCACGGUGAAAGUAUUCAAUGGUAUCAUGAAUUCAAUGAUGAAAGUGUAUAGACUAUUAGGAGAUUAAUCCAAAAUAAAAACCAUUAAAACUUGAUUUAACGUGUUCCAGAAGACUUAGUUAGCAUUUGGGCCAAUGGGUGGCCGUUAAUAUAUAUGUUUGUAUUUUCCAGGAACCAUCUUAAAGUUGCCGUGGCAUGGGAAAAUGACAAAAGAUGGAAAGCUUAAAAAAUCCAACCCAAUAAUCUCUUUAUUUCCCCAAGAUAAUCUCUUUGUUUCAGACAACGGAACGGGCAUCAAGUCAUCAACUAAUUAAAUCACCAGCGUAGCGUAAUUAACCCUCAACUUGUUGGCGAACCAGAAACAUUCUGGGCGUUAGCUUCCCAUGUAUUGUAAACACGACUGAUUGCACAAUUGAGGCAGUAGAUUACACAAGCAAGGAUAUGAUUUGAUUAAAUAAAUCCCACCUGCUGCCGUCAUUAAGUUACAAUAAUUUUUGGCAGACGCUCAAUUAUUGGUUAAGAAGGGUUGAUCCUGAUCUUGAUCUAGCCUAUCAUGGCAGGCCAUCUCCUCAGCCAGCAGCCCUUACUCCUCAGGGCCAAAUGAUUCGACCCACCCUUUUAAGGACCACGUUGCUCUACACCACAUCUUCCGCUCCCGCAUUAAUUAAAAGUUGUUACUCCCUCCCUUUUUUUAUAACUGUCGUUUAAGGUUUUGCACACCAAUUAAGAAAAGUUUUCAUUGCUUAAAUCUAUACACCACUUUCCUUUUAUACCCUCAUUAAUUAUUCAAUUCACCCAUGUUUUCUAGGAAAGAAUAUGGAAGGGCAGAGAGAAGCAAUAAUUACUAGGAGUAGUAAUUAAGAAUCCUGUAAGAGAGAUAAAAGGGUAAAAUUGUGAAAAAAUAAUAAAUGCUGCAUGGGGAUAGUAAAACGACAGAUAAAAGUACUUAAGAGCAAAUUCCUUAAACGACAGUUAUAAAAAAAGGGAGGGAGUAUUAAAUUAAUGUAAUGGCCAUGUUACACAAAGAUCUUUAUGUCGAAUGUGUCUUUGCCUCUCCUUCUUAAUAGUUACUACUAGUGUGACAUGGGAUGAUCAAUUACACGACGAAAGAAAUUUAAGGUGUCACGGUUUGAUUAGUUAACCUUGACCACGAAAGGUCCUUUGGGUUUCGUCAUGGGAAGGAAGGAAUAAGAAACUUUUAUUGGAUGGAUUGGUGUCAUUUCUAGAAGCUCUUUCCUUAAGUUAGUCAAGGGUGUUGGGCCAACGGUCUGCUUUUUGACAAUUCAAUAAGGUUACUACAAUAUAAGUCCCUGGGAUUGCCUCAAGAGUUGCCGGCUUUUGAGGUUAAUUCUGGGAUUAGGUUUAUAAAACAACAAAAGUCUGAUUCAGGCUGUUGAAAAAAAAUAAGGUUACUACAAAGUUGAUGAGGUCAGAUGGAAGGACCCGGAAGCAUCUAACAUAGAAUGAGAUUUGCACACGCAAUGCCUUGCUGUUUAUGUCACAUUGACAUCUGCCUAAUGCCUGUUCAAAGUCCACGUCUAGAUAGGAUUGUUAAAUGGCUCGGGUCAGCUCGAGUUCGACCCCAAAAAAACCUCAAUCAACCUAAUUCCUCAUUGUGUGUUGGGGCUGAUUUUGGGUAUAAACAUUAUAUUCGAAUUAAAUAUGAGCUGAAUUUGGAAUUUAUUAGGCUCAAAUUUGAUAUAAAUCCGGUCAUUUAAUCUGCAUCUAUAUAUAUAAUUAUAUAUAUAAUAUCACUAAUAUUUUAUAGUUAUGAGUUAUGUGUCAAAAUAUAUUUAUAUAUAUAUAAGAAAUAUGAAAUAUACAAAAUUAUGUCAAAAGAUUUUGAAGGAAAAAUCUUAGUACGAGUAAAUUGAGAACCUUUAAUGAUGUAUUGACUGUUAAUCAUGUUUUAUUACUAUUUUUAUGUACUUUGAAUUAAUUGGAUACAUUAUUGUUGAAAAUUUAUUAGUUUAUAUACUUUUUAAUGAACUAUUACUGGCUUGUUUAUAAUUUUAAUGUUGUGGUCCUGUGAAUGUUAUAUUAGGUUUAGAUUUUAAUAGUUAUAAUAAUUUUAUUAAAGAAAUUAAAAAGCAAUACAUGAGGUUGAGCUAAGCCCGAAUUAGAUUCACGCUCGAAUAUUUUGUGAGUCAAAUAUAAAUUUUACAUUAUCAACCUGAAACUCAUAAUUCAAAACUUAAAAGUGAUAGUCAUUAUAUGAGCCAAACCUAAACUUGUUAAAAGCCGAUUCAGAUGGUCCCAUUGACAGCCUACACAUAGUUAUCACUUUUUUUCUGUCUAUAUAUGGUAUUACCAUUCAAGACCACGGCAACAUUUGUGAUUAAAAAAAUUUUUACUUGUGGGUAAAACUUAGUCAUAACUUUACUCAAUAGACAAGUUUUCUUUUUAAUUUUAAGAUCAUGUUUAACAGGUGUUAUAAUAAAUUAGCUGUUUAUAUACUACUAGGACUUACGCAUAAAGUACUUGCCCCAGUAGAUACCCAUAAGCAACGACAUGCAGGCAGGAACUUUCUAGGAAAUUUGAAAUUUCGAGGUUGGACUUCAAUUCGGACUUUGGAGAGAGGACCAGUGGUAAUUUCAUUCAUACGACGUCAUGAAUAAACUAAGCAGUAUACUAGCUAAUGCCAAGAUUAUCAUGCAUUGACCUAACUAAUUAAUGGGAAAACGGGUUUAGCUAUGCUAAAUCAUAGUUUGGCAUCUCCAAAUUAUCUUCUUUUCUGAAGAGAACACUCGGGCCAGUGUGUUAUGCUGCAGGUGUGUGGAAAGGAUCAUUGAACCAUGGAUUCAUGACGACUAGUUAAGCUUGGAAGACAUGAUUGAUUUGUUUGAACUUCUUGCCUUGCAAGUACCCUUUCCUUUCACAGGACUCCAAAAGUUACCGGCUUUUGGAGUUACUGUGGGGAGUUAGGUUUAUUUGCCAAAAAUUCUUACUUCCGUAAGAAAAUGUCAGAAAGAAAACUCAUUUUCAGGGGGCUUGGGGGGUCUUUAUCUCUUAGCAGCGGGGCACCCCUGUGGGGUUUUCUAUCCCACAUCGGUAAUGGGGGGGUUGGGGUUUAGGUUUAUAAGUCCCUCACAGGACUCCAAAAGUUACCGGCUUUUGGAGUUACUGUGGGGAGUUAGGUUUAUUUGUCAAAAAUUCUUACUUUCGUAAGAAAAUGUCAGAAAGAAAGUACCCUUUCCUUUUUGUGUUUCUUUUCCUAUCAGGUCAGGGGUUCAAAGUUCAAACACAAAAGGAGUAGAAAAAAGGCGGUAGAAAGAAAUUUGGAUUGCCGUUUUCCGUCGAAAAAUUACGUCGUUUUCCGUGAUCACAUUUCCCUAUUACCUUUUCCCUCAUAUAUAUCAAAUCGCUACAGUAAUUUUUUCAUGAAAAAUACAAUCCAAACACAACCUUAGUUUUUCUUUUUGUGCUAAGAGAUGUGUGUUUAAUUGGUACCAGUAUUAACGUGGCAAGUUUCAUAAGUAAGAUGCAUGCAAGAUUUUUCUCAUUAUAAUUUAACCAUUUUGCAGCUCCUCUUAUUUCCUUCUACUUUUUUUUAAUCACUUCUUUUUUUUUUUUCUUUCUUGAAAAUUAGCUAGCAAAUUUAGGCAGUAGUGUAUUAGGAAUCUAUCACCCCCAGUGGGUAGCUCGGUUGGUUCCGAUCGUCCGUCUUUACAGCAAGGCCCGAGGUUCGACACCCACUUGCUACCAUUGUUGGGCAUCUUUGGGGCGAGCUCUGCCCAGCCUGGGGGAUUAGUCCAGGUGAUUUCGGGAUACCCCUCUAGACUGUUAAAAAAAAAAAAAAGUAAUAGGAAUCUAUCAACCACGCCUACCCUUAAACUUCACGUGACUUGUCCAAACCUACAAAGCGAUGAAGCAGUGUCUCCUCACAUCCUGUUUCCAGUGCUCUUUUCUUAUAGUAUAUGUUUAUAAAGAUUACGUAAAAAAUUUUGAGAUCUUUUUUUUUUUUUUUUUAGAAAAAAGGACUAUUUGUUAGGAUGAUUUAGUAGCACAUAACAAAUUUCAGAUAACGAUGAUAAUGGAGUCCAACAAUUAUGGACAACCUGCAGAACUUUGGCCAGGUAAAGACAAUAAAAUUCUAGUAUUUUUAUUCAUGUUACAUCACCAAAAGGCCACAGCAGAUUAGGCAAACGCCAAUCUUCUAUAGGCAAUCUGCAGAUUCUCUGCCGGUCUGUGCCAUACACAAAGUGUUAAAAUUCAUUUAAUGCAACCCACUCCUACUCCAUCAUACCCUUUUCAGUUGCCCAUGCUUUGCUCUUUCUAUAUAGCUUUCUAAUAUUUGGCCUCUCCAACCAUCUUUUGACGCGUAUGCCUGGCCAAUCAGAGGCUGAAAUUUAUUUAGACUAACAACAGCUUUAUAUGCUGCCCCCCGACGCCCAGAGACGCCAAGCAGAACACAGAUUCUGUGAACCAAAGAAAAGAUAACGAAAGAAAGGAGUUGGAAAAAAAAACAACAACAAAGAUCAACUUUUUUUUUUGGAGGGCUUGAUGCCACACUAUCAAUGGUCAAGAAUGAAGAAUUAAUCCAAAGGUGCAGACGGCCCUCUUCUUACUACUUUAUACAAUAUUAAAAUACUAGUGCAAGUUAUAGAUUUAUAGGUGUCGGGUUCUACAAUACACAUACAUAUGAACAUGUGAUGUGAUGAGGUCUUUCUGUCUAAGGACUACAUCAAUAGAGAACUGAAUAAACAGGACUACAUCAAUACAUGAGCCAUACAAAUGUUUAGUGAUACAGAAGGAAAUGAUGAACACACAUUCAGAUAUAUAGAUGUGUGAAUUCGUGGAUUAAUUGAAUCUUUUCUUAUAUAAGCAAAAUGCAUGGAUUUUGAGUUGAAUUCUGGCGUGAUUCAACUCAAUCUUCAAGGUCUUCAACUCAAUAUCGAGACGAAAGAAAGAAAAGAAAAGAGGCAAAUCCAAAUUGUGCAAAUUAAUAAGGCAGAUGCUCUGGCAAAAGGAGAUACAAAAUUGGAAAUCUAAAUUCAAUUUAAGCCAGUACUAGAGGAAUCAUGCAUGUAUGUACAAGUACAACAGGAGGCUCCCAUUCCAGAUUUUGACAUCCUACCAUUAGGAGGGAGACUAAACUCUCACGCAACAUGCAAUCUGUAACAUAGACCGCCAUGUGCCAUCAUUUUCUCUUUCGUUUCCAUACUUCUUGGCAACAAUAAUCAGCAUUUUUUUUUUUUUGCCAAAUAUAU
rnacentral:lncRNA from 1 species